AACACAAUCUGCUAGUCAACCAUGGCAACCCAGAUCAUUAACUUUGAGUGCCUUAUAUAAUAGAACUAACUAGGUUAAUGGAUGGGUGGUUGAAGCACAAAAGUGGAAAAUUGCAUAGAAAAUUUUGAAAAUAACAGUGAAGUAGAGGAGCACUAGUGUCUUCCUCCUCGGAAGCUAAACCUAUUUGUCUCUGCACCCCGUUGUUAAGCACUACUCCUUACCCCACCACCCCUCACGGGCUCCAUUUCUCACCAAAAUAACCAGUAUUUUUCAAUGCCAAGAGGAAGAAGAAGAAGAAGACCGUUGGGGAGAAAAAAUAUGAAGAUAAUUUAAAAAUGAGGACAAUUAUAAAGAGUAGAAAAGAAGAUCAAUGAGCCUGUCAUGUCGCUGUUCUUCUUUUCAUUGCUGCCUCUCUCUCUCUCUCACCAGUAGUUAACGUAGAAUCACAUCACCACAGAGCUCAGAGUACUUCCUUUCUUUUUUUUUCUCUUGUUUUUCUCCUUCUUCUCAGAAUUAAAUAUAUUACACAGAAGAGUUCAGGCCUCGAGAAGAAGUGACGAGAGACCCAUGUGCUUCUCCUUUGUUUGCUUUUGAGGCAUCAUCGACUUGUACUUCAAGACUUUAAGCCUACACUUCUCUACCCAAAAAAAAAAACCUACCAUUUACUUGUACAAAACCCACAUACAAUCCGGUAAUAGAAGCAACCCUUUAGUUAUCCCUUUCUUCUUAUUUUAUAGCUGAGACACAGAGAGAGAGAGACAGAGAGACACAGAGAAAGACGAUAAAGGAGAAAUUGAGUAGUGUUCCAUUUCAUCCACACUCCAAAGAGCUUUGAAGAAAUGACUAAAGAUGAAGACUUUAAGCUCCUCAAGAUCCAGGUAUUUCAUGUUUCUCUUAACCCACAUUCUUUCUUUUAGGCUCUUGUAUUUGUUUAUAGGUUCUUUCUUUACAUAGAGCAAAGUUGGAUGUUGGUCUUUUCCUGGAGAAUCUUUGUUCUAGUUUUUGUUGUUUCUUCUGACGUUUGUUUCUCUUCUUUUCUGUUCACAGACUUGUUAUCUCAAAGUGAACAUACACUGUGAUGGGUGUAAGCAGAAAGUGAAGAAACUGCUUCAGAGAAUUGAAGGUGCUCACUUUCUUCUCCUUUCUAAUUGCUGAAUAACUUGCUGCCACCUUGCUAUGCUCCCUAUUAAUCUGUUGCCAUCAUUGUAGGAUUUUGUAGAAGUAUGCAAAGUAAAAUCAAAUGAAAGUUGAUGACUUUUAUCAAAAUGGAUUUCUUGUAAAAUCAGAACAGGACACAAACACUCUAACUGGUCUAGUCUUGUUCCUUACUGAAAUUGUUAUCAUCAAGAGGAUUUAUACUUUUCAUAUACUUCUCUGGAAGGUUAUAUUAUGCUUUGCUCUUGAUGUAUGUGUAUGAUCUUCCUGAGUUUUUCAUCGCCGUCUCCAAAGAAAUUGACCCUAAUUGGCAGUUCUGUUACUUUUUUAUCCUUAGACUUGGACAGUUUUCCCUUUUAGAAAAUGUUGAACUUUCUAGGCAAAUUUUUUGUUCUCUAAGUAUCAUUUCUUGUAAUUUCAUACCCAUUCCUCUAAAAAGUUGGACCCUUCUGUGCAUUUCUAAUCGAGUGUUGUUCCUUUGUUUCCAACAAUCUCGUACAGGUGUUUAUGAAGUCAGCAUAGAUGCUGAUCAGCAGAAAGUCACAGUUUCAGGGGUUAUAGACUCUGCCAAUUUGAUAAAGAAAUUGGUUAGAGCUGGGAAACAUGCUGAGCUUUGGAACCAGCAGAAGGCCAAUCAGAACCAAAACCAGAAGCAAAAGAACAACAUCUGCAUCAAGGACAACAAAGGCCAAAAGCAGCAAGGGGGCAUGAUAAAGGGACUUGAAGCCUUCAAAAACCAGCAGCCGCAGCAGAAGUUUCCCCAUUUCUUCACUGAAGAGGAUAUUAAUGACUUAUUGGAAGAUGAGGAGGAGGAUGAGAAGGAUGAGUUGAGGCUUCUGAUGAGGCAGAAAGUAAACCAGCUCAGGCAUCAAUCUAUUGAUGUAAACAACAAUGGAAGGAAAGGUGCUGCUGCUGCAGCUAACCCAAACAAUAGUGUCAAGAUCACAAACAAUCACAAUGCUGGGAAGAAGGGAGUGCAGCACCAAAAUCAGAAUGUGCAGGGCAUGAAGGUGAUUAAUCCAGGUGGGAUUGAUCCCAAAACCAUGGCAGCACUGAACAUGAGCAACAUUGCUCAAUUGGGUGCCCAAUUGGGUGGCGAAGCCAAGAGGGGGAAUAACAAUGACUUGAGCACCAUGAUGAAUUUGGCUGGUUUUCAUGGCAAUGGCGCUACAAAUGCUGCUUCUGCCGCCGGUUUAGGUGGCAAUGUGGCCCAUGCCAAUAGUCUAGCAGCAUUCCAACAAGCGCUUCAAUCUCAGCAAUCUCAAGCUGGAGGCAGUGCAUAUCAGGCUCAAUCAGCUUCUGGAGGGUUUCCUAGUGGAGGUUAUGCCACUGGCCAAUAUCCGCAGACUAUGAUGAUGAAUACAAAUGGCUACGGGCAUCCAUCACAGAUGAUGAACAUGAAUAUGCAGCAGGCGAGGCAACAAGCAAUACAGCAGCAGCAACCUCAGAUGAUGUAUCACAGGUCUCCAUACAUUCCUCCUAGUACUACUGGUUACUACCCCAACUAUGGUCCCAUUCCUAGUUCUGCUCCAUAUCCUUACACUGCCGAGCCUAAUUACGGUGGUGAUGAUGGCAACAAUGCAGCUCAUAUGUUCAAUGAUGAGAACACCAGCAGCUGUUCUAUAAUGUGAUUCUAAUUAUGUAGAAAUGAAUGUUUGCAGAGAAUGGUGUUUACUCAUUCGCUGCCAGUGGAUGUUUAGUUGCUUUUGACAGUAUGUGGAAGACAUGAAUCAGGACUAAUAGUAGUACUAGUUGUUGGAGUGAGUCUCAUCACUUAUCAGUGUAAUAUUAUUGUGUAGUUGUUGACACUAUGUUCCCUAAUUAUUUAUGUCAAUUCCUCUAGUUUGUUUAUCUUUCAACGUGUUUAGCAUUUUUUUUCUAUCUUUGGUUUUGCUUUUAGAUGAAGUUAUGUGCUUUGGAGUAUUGAAAUGCCGGUGAAGCUGUUCUAACAUAAGCUAAUUCAGGAGCUAGGGAAUUUCAUUAUUCCGGCCAAUUGGGUAAGUUAGGCUUAGUUUAUUAUGAAAUGCAGAGACAAUGUGGCAUUGGUUGCAGCAUAAGUGUUUAGAAGAGCAAGAUGACAAGUUAGGUGUAGAGAGUUAAGAACAGCUAGGUUGACAAUGUCUAGUGCUUACUGUAAAUAUAGUAGUCUGCACAUGAAGCAUAAUAUGCACGCGUGUGUCGCGCGUGUCUUCCCUUUUGGGUUUAGCUUACGAAGGAAUCGCCGACAGGACCACAGCGUUAACUAUUCUCUCUGCAACUGGUGCCUUGCCAGAAGAUUAGGUAUAAUGUUAAUAACAUCUCCCCUGUGGUGGCCUGGAUAUAGAUAACCCUAGGGAAUUAGGUUUCCGUAAGAUUGGAAGCAGCCUGUUUAUAGUGUUUCGAAAUAUUUAAAUUUUAAGAGAAAUUCGGAGCACUGGAUACAACUGUUAAGUCGAUUAUAACUAAAAUUUAGAAUAGGAUGUGAACUAGUUAGGUGUAUAUAGUGUCUCUGAGUAUGUGAACUAAUUUAGUGUUUAUAGUGUUUCUGAGUAGUUAACGAGAAUUUGAAAUAGUGAAGAAAGUGGUCAAAUCAACCAAAAAAGUAGAAAGAGAUGGUGGUGGUGAAAGAUGAAAGAUGAUGAUGAGUUUUGACUGAAGCAGUCACUAAAGUUGAGACCUGCAUUAGACAUGUACCAUUUUGGGUCCUGUUCAGUGACUGCUCAGUGUUCACAAAGGCUUCACUUUAACAGGGGAACUGACAUUACUUUUAGACUAUUGAGUAAAGCAAACCCCUGCCUGCACUAUCAGUCCUGCACUAUCAAUUUUCAACAAGGACAGGAUGCAGAAGGAAAUUACUGGGAGUAAAAAGUAGAAACCAAAUAUAUUUUGAUGAAUUUUACUGUUGUAGAAGUCACCCUGUUGCGAAUUACAGCCUAGUUUUCACUGGCUGAAGAGCAAUUCUCGGAGUAGUUUAUCUGGGCUUCACAGGAGAAAUCAAUUGGCAAUUGUUGGAGACUUGGAGCACAUAGUACUUGCUCCUAUUUUUCAACGUAGAAUCCACAUUUUCAACCUUUUCUGGAAAACUUUGAGAAUUAAAACCAAAGGGAUGCCCAUGGCCCAUAGGUAUUCUACUGGGCUUAUUGUCCAACCCAAAUCUCAAACCAAAAGUGAUAAACCUGGACCCAUCGAUAAAAGAUUAUCUUAAAACAUUGGUCUCUUACUGCAAUGGCAGGUCAAGACUCAAGAGCAAAAAACACUAGCCUAAAAUUUCAAGCCCAAGUGAGCUUCAAGAGAAAGCCCACUCAUAUUUGGGCCAACCAAGCUCUAGACACAACCCACAUGCUGACCCAAUGUGCUACUGCCGCCGGCCAAGGCACGACGCUCAACCUCGCCGUCAUGGAGCUGCCACUCGGCCCACACUUACCAUUACAGAGCCCCCGCCGAUAGCUUGCAAGCCACCAUCGGCAACGAGGGCCUUUCAAAUCCCCACCACAUGUAAUGUGAAUGUUACUUAAACAAAUAAUAUUAUUAAGCUUUCAUGAAAUAAUUCGAAUUUCUAAAGACAUGUGAGAUUUAUAGGGUGUACGUGACAUGUAAUGUGAGAUAUGUUUACAUUACCUUUCGGAGGAGAAGGGAUGAAGAAGUCAUAGUGUAAUCGAAUAAUUAAGCUCAUCUUUUUCAUUCCCCAAACCGGAAAUUUGGGAAGAAAUAGAACGAUAUCAUUAGUUAUAAAGAAAAACUAAGCCUCAAUCAUAUAGACGAAAAAAUAAAAGAAGCGAAACAACUCUUUUCCGUAAGCACGUAACUUCAUUUUCUAUGACCCCAUCCACUUUCGAAUUUGGUCCAGUUUAGACUUUAGAGUACAUCAGGUAUUGCACAUUUGCACGUAGAUUCGACCUUUGCGGUUUUAGUUUAAAGCAAUUUAUAUUGUUCAUAAGUCAUAAGAAGGCACCACUAAGCUGGUGAAUGGUGAUGUUAUAUUUUACGACUAGUGCCUAUUACAUAGAACUAAGUUAUAGUUAAGCACUUAAGCUAAUUCUUUAGUUGCUUACCUGCUUGGAGGCAUUAGCUUACUCACAACCUCGACACAGAUAAGUGCUUCACACUCUGGAAAUCCACAUCCAGAAUAUCAAAAGGAUGCUCAUCAUAUGUUCAGCUCCUAUCUAUAUCUUUACCCACUAAUCAUAAUGUGAAUUCAGCACAAAUGGAAACAAUAAGAAUGAUUAUGUGACGAAAAUUAGUGGCAUAACAAUUCGUGGAUUCCUUGCUUUACUCCAUAUGAGUAGUUUAAAAGUACAACAAUUCUAAAGCUGGCUGGUGGAGAUACCCAAGACUCUAGUUGGGAAAGUCUUAAUUUGGUCUAUUUUACACAGCUUUCUGAUCUUUAAUUGAUUAAGUUUCAAGAACUCACCGUUUUCUUCCUAUUUCUGUUAUGUAUAUGACGAUUCUCUACGGCCUCCACCCACUUAUUGAGUCAUCAUAUUUGUGUAUUAGUCACAAUCGGAGAAGUUAUCAUUAACUGAAAAUUUUAUAAUGCUUCAGAAUACUAAAUUUACGAAGACAAGAAUAAUUUAAUUACAAAUUUUACACACGUGUCUCCUCAUAUAUAGUUAGUCUAAUAAAUUCAGGUCUAAAACUUUAAUACUUCAAAAAAUUAUAGAACACACAUCGAUUCCAAUGCCCUUGAAAUUAAGAUUGUGCCGAGGUCUUCAUAGUGGUUGAGCAAAAUAUCAAGCAAAAAUUGAUGACUACUUGCAACAAUGUCCAUAGACAAAUCGAAGUGGGAAAGCUCUUGAGAUGAUGUGAUGGUUUUCCAUAGCUAUAGAUCGAUUAUCUGAAAGUGAUGUAAGUAACUGACUUUGGCUACAUAUCUUGGCCGGAUCAUUAUUCCUCUUGAUUUUUAGUGAAUCACUGAAUCUCAUAUAUGUGGCAUACUCUCUCCCUCAGGUAACGAAUCACUGUUAUUAUGCUAUGCAGCUAGCAAAAUAAAAACAGGACAAUCCAAGCACCUUUUUGAAUUUUAGAUAGCUAUAUAGGUUAGACUAUAUAACAUGUGGAUAUUCUUCCUAUUUUUACAAUCAAGUUUUGUAAUUCUUUGUGUAUUUGACAAUCUUAUAAAGUAAUUCAAUAUAGGAUAAAAUUGAUCGGUAGUAUUAACGUCGUUUUAAGGAAAACAUGAUCGUCAUAUUUAUUUGGAAAUAAAUCGAGUUGUGAUGUGUGGACAAUUGAAGCUGAAUUACCUUACAUGUGUGGCUACUCAGCUUGCCACACUUGAAAAUAUGGGCAACACAAGAAUUAGAACAUCCAUCAACCAAAAUAGCUAUGAUGAUGAACACAGUACUCUAGCUCACACAUGUAUGAUGUGUGUGGAAUACAAAGUCAUUACAGUAUGGCCUUGAUCAAAUGCAAAUUAGGCAUUGGUUUAUAAAUCCAAAUGCUUAAUUGAUGGGAUCCUCAAGAUCGGUGAUUUAAUUUCGAUUUGGUAUAAUAUUUAGACAAAAAUGAUACAGUGAUCGAUACAUGCAUGCCUGACGUGAAAGCUGGAUAUAUGUCCUUAUGCAGUCUCACUAUUUCGGAUUUACCUAAGCCCUCAGCUGGCUUUACUCACCAAUAUUCAUUUUCUUAUGAUAUUGUAUGCAUAGUGAAGCAUAAUAUUUGUCUAUUAUUACAAAAAAUAACCACUGAAAAUUAAAAAAAGUUUUUGGAAUUUUGAAUGGUUCUCUUUGCCUUCUUCAUCAGACAAAUAAAACCCGGUGAUAUUUGGGCAGAACAUAUAUGCACCACUUCUGGACAAGACUACCCUACAAGGAAAUACCCUCAUCAAGCAUUCACUAAAUUUCUUUAAUCUCUUUCAAUACUAUGUCCACUCCUUUUCAUCGUUUUUCCACUACAUAGACCAUAACUCUUCUCACCUAUCAAAUAGAAUCACUCAUAUAUCGAUCUCACUCUCUCUUUCUUUCUUCUACCUCCUUCUCUCUCUUCCUCUCCCUCUGCAUGCAACCAGAGAUGGUUAGUAUGCAGAGAAUUCUGGUGUUUUCUGCUCUUCUGGUUUUUGGGGUGUUUAUAAGUUCUUCAUGGGCAGAAGAAAAGCUUGUAAAUCUGACCAGGCUGCAGAUGUUCGUCGAUGAGCUACCUGACAUGCCUAGAAUCCAAGGCUUUCGGGUUGUCAAUGGUGUUCCAAGACCCAGGUCAUUCAAGAUUGGCAUGUACCAGAAGAAAUGGGUAAAAGCUAAAGCAGAAUCACUCACUCUCUUUAUUUAUCAUAUUUUGAUUCCUUUCGCUUUUCCUAUAUACAAACAGAUAUCUUUUGUUUUUCUAUGGUUAUUGUUGCUUUAGAUAACAUCUAGGACAAUAAUUUGGCCAGACUGAGCUUCAGAGGCUGUCAUCUAAGAUGAGUAAGAUCUAACUUUCAUAUCCUCGCCGAGGGUAGUUCAAAAUUACACCAACUCAAAUAACUUUUUACCUCUUUCGGUUUUCCAUGAUAGUUUUAUAAUUCAUAAAUCAAAUUAAAGUGUAAUUUAGUGAGCUGUAACCCUGUUUAUAAACUCCAUUCACUUAUACUGUUGCGUACAAAAAUUUUCGUAAUAAAACCUCAGAAAAAUAGAACACAGAAAAAAUUAAGUUGUUGAAUGUUUAUACGUACAAUUUCUAUGAGUCAAGAUGGCUCGAAUAAUUAAGUUGUUGAAUGUUCUUUUUCAAAAUGGUAAUCAUCAUUUAAUUCCAUUAGGGAAUUGAUGGUGCAUCGCUGGCACAGUUAAUUACAAAAUUAGACCUUAAGCAUUUGCUUAAUUCCCUUUUGCAGAAAUUCCACAGAGACAUACCGGAAUCGACGGUGUACGCCUACGGUACAAGCAAGCACACAGCAACAGUCCCUGGUCCUACAAUCGAGGCCCUCCAUGGCAUUUCCACCUCCAUUAGGUGGCAAAAUAAUAUCCAUUCAACCAAGCACAUCCUCCCUUGGGACCCCACCAUUCCGACAGCCGCACCUUCCACCAAAAACGGCAUUCCAACGGUGGUGCACCUACACGGCGCCAUCGGUGAACCCGAGAGCGACGGAAAUGCUAACUCGUGGUUCACCGCAGGGUUCCGAGUUCGUGGUAGCACUUGGUCGAAGAAAACGUAUCGCUAUUACAAUCAACAACAACCUGGAAAUUUAUGGUACCAUGACCAUGCCAUGGGGAUGACUAGGGUGAACCUCUUAGCUGGCCUUGUUGGGGCCUACAUUAUCCGGCAUCCAGAUAUUGAAGCCCCACUCGGACUUCCUUAUGGUGAAUUUGAUCGCACAUUGGUGGUUUUCGACCGUGCAUUUAGCACCGACGGUUCCAUAUACAUGGACCCCAGGGGUAACAAUCCCUCUAUCCACCCACAAUGGCAGCCGGAGUAUUUUGGUGACGCUAUCAUAGUAAACGGAAAGGCUUGGCCAAAAUUGACGGUACGACGUCGGAAAUACAGGUUCCGAAUCAUCAAUGCCAGCAAUGCAAGAUUCUUCAAAUUCUUCUUCCCCAACGGACUGAGAUUCAUCCACGUGGGAGCUGACUCAGCAUACCUUGCAAAACCAGUCACAAGCAGGGAAAUUUUGGUGGGGCCAUCUGAGAUCACUGACGUGGUAAUUGACUUUUCCGCGUCGAAGACUAACAGUGCUAUCCUGGCCAACGGCGCAGCGUAUCCUUACCCCACCGGCGACCCGGUCAACGAAGCCAACAGCAAGGUCAUGAAGUUUACGAUUCUCCCCCACUCAGAGGUCGACACGUCGCGUGUUCCGGCGAAGCUAAUCCACUACCCUGUUCCUGAUUUAUCCACUGCUUCGCAGACACGCUACAUUGCUAUGUACGAGUACGCUAGCAACAUUGAUGAGCCGACGCAUCUCUACCUGAAUGCUAAACCCUACGAAGCUCCGGCGACCGAGACCCCGAAAGCGGGGGCGUCGGAGAUUUGGAACGUGAUCAAUCUGACGGAGGACAACCACCCGCUGCACAUUCACCUUGGGUUGUUUGUUGUACUUGAUCAGACUGACUUGGUGAAUGUGGAAGAGUUCAAAGAUUGCAUGACUAAGAGAAAUGACGCUGUCAAGUGCCAAGUAAGCAAGUAUGCACGUGGCAACAAGACGGAGGUGCCAGCUCACGAGAAGGGGUGGAAGAACGUUUUCAAGAUGAGACCUGGUUGUGUGACAAAAAUUCUGGUGAGAUUUGCUUACAUACAUACGAAUGCAUCCUACGUAUUCGACCCGACUGCCAAGCCUGGCUACGUCUACCAUUGCCAUGUAAGUAAUCAACGAUAUACAUUAGUUUCUUUUCGAUAAUUCUAUAAUGUUUCGGAGUAUAAAUUUGAUAUUUUUUUUGAAAUUAUAUAUUUUUGGGUGUCUAUGUUCUAUAGUAGAGUUCACGGGUAUACUAGAUAGUAUAAGAAGCUGCAUAAAGCUUGUAGAAGUUGUCUGGUAGCCUGGUAAGUGUCUGAGACGCUGUCCAGAAGAGUCCAAUUUACAGAUGCCAAAGAUGGCUUUGUUUGUUUGAUUCUCUAACUGAUAUGCUUCUAUAUGAUUCGUAGCUAUCGAUCAUAGUCAUUAGCAGUUUCAAAUAUGAUUAAGUUGUUUUUAUUUGAACUAAUUGUGCAGAUCUUAGAUCAUGAAGACAAUGCGAUGAUGAGACCUCUGAAAAUAAUCCGUUGAGAUAUUGGAUACUGUCAAAUCGUAUAGGUAAUUAAUCAGUCGUAAUCUGCUGAUUAUAAUAAUCCGUUGAGAUAUUGGAUACUGUCAAAUCAUAUAGGUAAUUAAUCAGUUGUAACCUGCUGAUUAUUUUGCUGUUUAAAAUGAUUUUCUUCUGCUCAGCUGUGACUAGUUCUUUAUUGUUAUGCAGGUUUUCGAAUAAUCGAUCAGGAACUCGGGUUUAAGCUAGGUGGUGUUUAUGUCAUACAAGUGCUUAAUUAGGUUGUCCAAAUAGUUAGCAAUAAAACUCUGUUUCUCUGGCUAGCAAAGAUGUGAUCAUAUAUAUAGUUUGCAAAUAGAUAUUCAUCAAGUUUUUGGUAUAUAGUUGAUUCAUUCAAAGAUAUUAUUAGUACCAUUAGUAUUUUUCUUUUCGUUUCAAACAAGGAAAUUGACCAUAAACUGGUACAUCAAUCCAUCAACAUCAAGUAAGCUACGUAUUUUGGAACUUUGAAUCAUUCACUGGCAAUUUUUUUUUUAACAUCACUAAACUGAUACCAAUGAAACAAUCAACUGAAUGAAGCCAUCGAGUGAUAGUUACUGUUAAUCACUCACCAGCAUUGUUUAUUUUUCCUUUUAACUGGAAUUAUCUCACAGAAGAAAAGUUCAUAAGCUUUGUUUCAUUCAGUGUCUAGUGAUGGCAAUCACCUCAAACAAUGUACUCAAAUUUAUCUCAGACCAUAGAAAUUCUUACUCUUUUCCGAAACAAAACCAAUAUAAUGAAAACACAGGUACGUACAGAUGAGAAACUAACCUGGAGAUCGAGAUAAAAGAAUAAGAAGGCGAUGAACAAUCAUAAACACACACAAUAAAGUUUUUUUGUUUUGAGCAGCUGCCGAGGGAGAAGCUGAAGAGAAAGAUGAGGGAGAUGAAGAAAUCGGUUCUGCUUCAAUUUCUGGUCCUAGUUUCUUCGAAAUUGAUUUUCGGCGAAUGGUUUAGGCCUUAUGUGGGCCAAAGCCCAUUUUAGUUUUUGAAAGAAAAAAAAUCCUGCGGCUAACGCAAACGAGGUGGGUCUAGGCGGUCGAGCCACGUGGGCCAUAACGGGCUGAGAGGCCCAUCCUUUAAAAAAAAGAAAAAUAAUAAACUAGAAAAGAGAAAUAUUUUCUCCGGCCUAGGCGGAACUUGGUAGGGCUAGGCGGUCGACGUGGCGCGAGACUUAGCGGGAAGUGGGGUCCACAGUUACAAAAAAAAAAAAAAUAAUAAAAUUGGAAGCAGACGAGGUCUUCUUCUGAGAUUUCUGGUGUGUGCGGGGAUAAAGCAAAUGAAAUUGAUGAUUUGCUCUUCAUGGUGAAGAUGGCCGGACACAGGGAUUCGGAACUUGUCAUUCAUUCCCCUUGUUCGUCUCAACACAGAAAACCAAGCACCGUUUCUUAAUUUGAUCGCUUCACAAAUCACAAACCUUUGUUCAGUCAUGGCUUCCUCGACAGAAAUCACGAUGGCAUUGUUUAUCCUUGGGAGACCUUUCAAGGUUUUUACUUUGUUCCUAGUUUGUGAUCUGUUUCUGUUUGAACUAAUUGUGCAGAUCUUAGAUCAUGAAGACAGUCCGAUGAUGAGACCUCUGGAAAUAAUCCGUUGAGAUAUUGGACACAGUCAAAUCAUAGGUAAUUAAUCAGUCAUGAUGUGCUGAUUACUUAGCUGUUUAAAUUGAUUUUCUUUUUAUUUUGUUUAGUUGUGAGUUGUGACUAGUUCUUCAUUGUUAUACAGGUUUUUGAAUAAUCGAUCAGGAACUCCGGUCCAAGCUGGGUGGUGUUUUUGUCAUACAAGUAUUAAACGUUAAACGUACGCUUAAUUAGGUUGUCCAAAUAGUUAGCAAUAAACUAUGUUUCUCUGGCUAGCAAAGAUGUGAUCAUAUGGCAAGUAGAUAUUCAUCAAAUUGAUUCAUUCAAGGAAAUUGACCAUAAACUGGUACAUCAAUCCAUCAUCACAAGUAAACUACGUAAUUUGGAAAUUUGAAUCAUUCACUGGCAUUGUUUUUUUUUUAACAUCACUCUCCUAGACUGAUACCAUUUGAAACAAUCAACUGAAUCAAGCCAUCAAGUGAUAGGUACUGUGUAUCAUUCACCAGCAUUGUUUGUUUUUCCUUUUAAGUUGAAUUAUCUCACAGAUGAAAGUUCAUAAGCUUCGUUUCAUUCAGUGUCUAGUGAUGGCAAUCACCUCAAACAUGCUACUCAAAUUUAUCUCAAAUCAUAGAAAUUCCUACUCUUUUCCGAAACAAAACCAAUAUAUUGUUUUCCAUAUAUCACUCAUAUGGAAAAGCUCAGGGUCAGAAGUCUCAAGCUACUGAUAUGUGUACUCCUUAAGUUGCCUUCCCACAGGUCUUGAAAAGAAAACAAAAAAACAUUGCUCUCUUACGACGAAUUUUAACAGGUGCUUGCUAUGCACAAAUUUGAAGAUGUACCUCGUAUGUACCAAUCUCUCACACAGUCACAUACACACACACACACAUUUAGUACCGAACAACCAAGGAUCAUGAUGUGAUAAGAUUUCAGUUUCAGUCACUAACUAGCAAAUAUGACCACUAUGAUUGAAAAUGUGCAGCAACAUAAACUAAAAUAGCACCUUUGGAAUAAUCUCCUGUAUGAUAUGGUUAAACCAUCUCUGGUUUACUGAGAGGGUCUCCAUAGAAGGUGCCAUACGGUAUAAGGAGUCCCUCAUUGAGUCAUCAUCGUGUUGCCACCCCUUACGAUUACCUCCAGAUGCUUGACACUAGUUAAUGGUGGACGGUGACGAGUAUAUUUGGAGAAUGCUUCCAAGGCCACCAACCGUUACCAGCCAUGAUAGUAGUCUCGUACAAAUUUGGAGCAUUGAUACAAAACUUGAGCUCGUUUGUCGGACCAUCGAACCAAAAUGAUCUUAGAUUUGGAGCAUCAAUUAUAAUGUCAUUCAUAGUGUGGCAUUGGCACAGAACCAAACGUUUCAGAUGCUGACUAACGAUUCUGAUAUGUUCUCCAAGGUAGCAGUUAUAAAGUAUCAAACUCUCAAGUAGUGGAAAUCGUGAAGUGAACUCUUUGCCACACACACCUGCAAAGUUUGCACCAAAUAACUCUUAGUUCCUAAGCUGUCCGCAAGAAGCAAAAUCAAUAGUGUACGAAGACCAGGACUUCCCCUUUUCACUGCCAACUCCAAGAGACUCAAGAUUCAUAGCUUCAACUUGAAGCCUAGCGUGGCGCUCUGGAAAACUGAUAAAUUCCAGGGAUUUGAGGCUUGAGCUCGAAACUUCAAUGUCUGCAACAAGGUUGUACCAUCCGGAUAUCGACAGAUUCUCAAUGGAAGGACAUAAAUUUAACUGAAAGGAUCUCAAAUCGCACUCUUUUACUUUUACACGCUUUAGGGACAUAGAUUUCAAAGAUGGAAAGGUUACUGAUUCUCGCAUCAUCCAAACUCAAGGUAGUCAAAUGUUGUGCACUACUCAUAAGGGUGACGUUUACAGACUCCAAACUUAGAGUAGUCAACAAAUCUGCAUUUCUAACUUCCAAGGACAAAUAAUGACUCGCUGCCAUCUAUGACAGCCAGGUAUAGCUCUUUAACAUGUCUAUUCAUAGCAAAUCUCAAACACUUUCUCACAAUAUGAGAGCUACAUGUUUCAUCUAAAGACAGAUAUCUCAUGCGAAUCCGAAGCCUCAAUCUAUGCAAGGAUUUAUCUUUCUCACGCCGCUUCAAACACAUUGUUACAAACUCGGCGAACUUUAUGUGUCGACGAAGACGGUUGGCAUGAAGAUCAUCAUCCUCACCAAGUUGCUCUAUUUCAUCCACGUCGAAAUCUAAUGCGGGGACCGAAAACCAGACACGUUCCCAUUGCUUGGAGAGAAUGAUAGCCCGGACGGCUUGUUUGGUAGAUAGAGAUUUCAGGAUUUCAUGGAUUACCAGGUCAGGUAAUGCGUCCAUCGAUCAUAUAAUACGUUCUUCUGCGAUUUCCAUAUAAACAAACAACACACAGGUACGUACAGAUGAGAAACUAACCUGACGAUCGAGAUAAAAGAAUAAGAAGGCGAUGAACAUACAAUCAGAAACACACAACUCAACCUGUUUUCUAAUGCUAAUAAAACCCUAAAACUCUUCGCAUGUCUAAUAAAGUCACAAAAGACUCUCCUCGAACUAUAUAUGUUUGUAACAUUGUAUAAUCACAAUAGAGCCGAUCGAGCUUUUCUUACCGACUGCCGAUCGUCUUCUUCUUCUUUUUCUCUUUUUGAUCUUUCACGUUUUGUUUGUUGUUUAGGGUUUUGGUUAGUAAAGAGCCCAUUUAUACUGUUAUUUUGCUUGCAAUGGCAAAAUCGUAGUUUGAAACACUACAGAGGGCUAAACCGUCCACUCAGCUGAUUAAAUUCGAGAGCAAAAGCAGUCGCAGCGGGAAUGGGAUAAACUAAGCAAGCCUCUCAUUUCGACGGCCGGAGAUGACGGUCCUUCUCAGCCGUCCGCUCCCUUCUUUCCCGGCCAUCCAACACCGACGUGUCACCAAAUCCAGACCGUCCAUUUCAACAAGCGUCUAUUGCUUCAACUCCAAACACUCCUUCAAGGUCAGUCUCAGCUCUCUCUCUCUCUCUCUGCGUUUUGAUGAUGAAAAUGUGAAGCGAAUUCUGAGAAAGUAUUGAUUUGACAGAGAGACUACACAAGCGUGAUGAUUGUACCUACCGGAGUCGGAGCCGCCAUCGGUGGAUACGCCGGAGACGCCUUGCCGGUGGCUCGCGCUCUCUCCUCCGUCGUCGAUUGCCUCAUCACUCAUCCCAAUGUAAGUUCCUUUUAUCAAUUCCAUUUCAUUACGAGGAAAAAGAAAAAAGAAAUAGUAUUAUGUUUGUGUUGAGUAGAAUUGGUGAAAGAUUUGGAGGUGGAUAAUUGACAGGUGCUGAAUGCAGCAAUGCUGUAUUGGCCUAUGCCUAAUGCUUUGUAUGUCGAAGGCUUUGCUCUCGAUCGAUUUGCCGAAGGCGUAUGGGCUCUCAAGCCUGUUCACCAGAACAAGGUGUGUUAUGAACUUAUUUAGAAUGUUAAAGGUUAGAAUUGAUGGUGUAAAUUGUGAGACAUUGUAUAGGUUUGCUUAUGUAGAGUGAAUUUUGGAGCAGGUCGGGUUGGUUCUUGAUUGUGGAAUAGAAGAGGAGCUUCGCCUUCGUCAUUUGCAAGUGGCUGAUGCUGCAAGGGCUUCCCUUGGCUUGCCUGUGGUGGAAUAUGUUGUCACUGACACUCCUUUGCAGGUAUCGGUUUGGCUGUUGAGAUUAAGAGUUGAUUUGUAUAGCAUUUGUGUUUGUUGUUGAAUCCUGCUGUUUAGAUCACAAUGUGUUGUUUUAAGUAGUAGGUCAAGUUACUAGUGAGCAAUUAGUACGCACAUUUUUUUUUAUCACAUUUCUGAGUAGAUUCCCAUUUGAAGGGUGUUUGAGAACACUGAAGUGGAAAAAAAAGAGCUGCUGUAUUUGAAUUAAAAUUGCUAUGGUUAAAGCAUUUUAGACAUGUAGUUCCAAAGCCCCUGCAUUAACAUACAGUAGAGUUCUGUUUUAUACUUUGUUUCACCUUUCUCUGUUGCCAAGCCUGCACUUUUAAUUCAUUAUUGAGGGUGUUGAGUGUUAGUAUAUUCUGAAUCUACUUGCUUAUGUGAUUUGGAGUUCUGAACUUUCCCCCUUGUUGUUGACUACAUGAUAUUGAAGGGAACAAAUUCUACAGGUAGAAAAGUGGAUUGAUCCAAAAAGUGGGCAGUCAACAGGGAGGAUUAAGCACCCUGAGUCACUACUGAGGGCUGUGCAGGCUUUAAUCAAACGCUCACAAGUAAAUGCCGUCGCAGUUGUUGGACGUUUCCCGGAUGAUGAUUUUGAAGACACUGAUGAUUAUCGACAAGGGAUGGUAUGCUAAUUAUUUUCUUAUACAAGGGAAUGUGCUGAUUAUUGUACGAUGUUUUUUUUCCUGAAUAGUCAUAAUCCCUUCUCUGCCAUUUGGUUACCAUAUCAAAUUGAAGUUUUUCUGUUAACUUUUCUGGUACAUUUCUCAUGCUAGAAUAUGCUUGGAUCAGUUAAUAAUUUGCCAAAUUAGUUUUGUCAAUACUUGGUAUUUUCUAUAACAUUGAGAUAACAAAAGUUGCUGGUGCUGCUAAUCCAUCUUCUUCUGUCAGAAUGACCAGCAGCAGCAAUAAAAUUCUUACUCGCUUAUUCUUGGUUCUGAUCAGUUCUGAAUUGCGUAUGUCGACUCUGUGAUGGAAUAACCAAGGGUUAUACACUGGUUCAUGGAAAUACUUGAGCCAUUUCCCCAUGAAGAAUGCAUUUUCUCCAUGAAGAACGCAUCUAUGUAGUUUCAUUUGUGUACAACUUUUAGCUUCAAAUUGCUAUCUACUGUUUACUCAUUGAGUCAUUUGUGCACAUGCUCCUGCUUUAUUACCUGUGGAAGUUCUGGUUGUGUGAUUUCGUCAAUGCAUAUAGCUGAUUUCUAUGAAGCUCACAUUUCAUUCAUCUUUCCUUUCCAGGGUAUUGAUCUAUUAGCGGGAGUCGAGGCAGUUAUAAGCCAUCUAGUAGUGAAAGAAUUCCAAAUUCCUUGUGCACAUGCUCCUGCUUUAUUACCCGUACCUCUGAGCCCAUCUUUAUGCCCAAAAUCAGCUGCUGAGGAGGUUAGUACAAUUCAACAGAACUUGGAAGUGAUUUGUAUAAGAGAGUUAAGAGACAAUUCUGAGGAACUAUUGCAUAAAUUAGAAAACAUAAUAUAAGAUAUCUGUAGCUUCGGAACAUAAUGUGCCUUCUGUGGGACAAUGAUUUAUGGAAGAUUGUAUAGCUAAGUAAUAAACAUUAAAGACAGUGGUUUUUCCUCCAUAAAUAUUACCCUAAGUGAACUUAUGUUAAUAGAUGUUUUAAUGGUUAUCUCUCAUUUCAUGUGCAACAGUUGGGAUACACAUUCCUGCCUUGUGUGCUUGCUGGUCUUAGUAAUGCACCACAGUACUUGGUCAAGAACUCUGAGUCCGAGCAUGGUUGUGUACUGGCAAGUGAUGUUGAUAGUGUCAUCCUGCCUAUAGAUGCUUGUGCAGGACCUGGUGCUCUUGCUUUUGCACAAAGCAAAGCCAAUAAGGUAUACAAUUUAAAUGGUGUUUAUCAAUACCCUCUCUCCCUGUUCACUGGUUGAAUUUGGAAGCAGCUUAUUUAACAGAUGGCAUGGGAUACUUGUUCCUUCUUGUUACUAAUUAUGAUUUUAUUGCAGCCCCUUAUAAUUGUUGUGGAGGAAAAUGAAACAGUCCUUGAUGACACACCUGAUAAAGUUGGCAUUGAAGCAGUAUGUCUCCAAAUAUUUUCACUACUCUGCUUUUUCUCCCUUUUUGACUCUCGGGACUUGGGAGCUAACUAAAUGAUGGAAACAAUUUAAAUGGCUCUUGCACUACAUUUAUUAAGUGCUUUUUCUGUUUAGUUGCUAAAAUCCUCAACCACCUUCUUUUCUUGAAGAGGUGGUGGAACCAUGUCUAUUAGUAAUUACUGGUAUCUUAACUAACUUGCCCUAAGGUUAAACCUAUAUAUCAAUUAAGUGCUUUCAAAUCCUACCCUAGUUCAGGUUUUAGUGCAGCACUGAGUGGAGGCAGGCAUGUUUACCUUCUUCGUAUUAUUCUACCAUAGUUCACUAGCAUGUCUGAUUACUCUAUGAAAUCUCUUUUUCAAGUCUUCUGUUGAUCACUUUUCUUUUAUUGUAUAAAAUUUUCCUGCAAGUAUAUUUGAAGGAAAAGACAGCUGAAUUUGGAAUAAUUGUGUGUGUGCUUGUAGAAGAGAGAACUGUUGGAGCCCUAAUACACCACAAACAGCUAACCAACAUACCCACUAGGAAAAUGACACUUAGGAAUUUGGUUUCUGAUUAAGUGGAUUAGUGGAACUAACACCAUGUACAAUUGUCUUCUACGUUAGUGACCGACAUACUCACUAAGCAAAUGACAUAACUUCAAUUCUUAGCACGUGUUUUCUGAUUAAGCUCUAACCUUUCUGCAGAUCAAGGUCUCAAACUAUUGGGAAGCAAUUGGUGUUAUUGCAGCUCACAAGGCUGGAGUAAAUCCACAGUCACUACGAAGAAAUAGAAUUAGCAAUCUUCAACGCACUUCUCUGCUGCCUACUAAUGGUUAUGCCGUUCAAACUGCCUCAACAAAUGGCUGAUUGUGCUGAAAUCACUUUCUCAACUAAUUUUCACCUAUUCUUUCAUUUAUGACAAACAUUUGACAAGGUUUCUGUCUUGGUUUAAUCACCUGUAAGAAAUUAAUGAAAAGGAGAGAUCAUUCUGGUGCUUGUAGAGUUGGUAUAGAGAUUCAAACUGCUGUCUGCAAUCGAGUCAUAUAACUCAUUGUGUAAAGUCAUCGAUGAUUUUUCAGUAGGUGGAUAUUGGAUAAUUCUUGGUGAGUUGUUGAAUCCACUUAAGACCUCUCGCCAAUUGAAUAUUUCAUAAAUGCAGAGCCAAUAGAUGUGGAUAGACACUACCAGAUUAAAUCGAGUCAUACUUAGGUUUGUUGAAUGUUCCUUCUUCUGUCUUCUGAUCUGAAAUCCUGAUGGAAACGUAUAACUACAAGUCAAUGCUGGUCUUAAGUUUCUUCUUUCCUUCUAUUGUUUUUGGCAGUCAGAUGCUUGUCUUAUGUUGAUUCACAGAUUUGGUACCUUUCUAUUUGGUCAGAUGUAAACAUCUGCUGGUGUUUCUUAUACGAAAUUCUGUAUUGUUUGACUAGCAGAAAUAGUAGGAAGCGAACAUAUUUGUGAUGCUGGUAUGAACUUGAAAUAUAACCAUAGGUGUACUUUUAUUCCCUGUACUAUAUAUAUUCUCCAUCUUAUAUCUCAUAUCCAUUCACUGUUUGCAGGGAUAUAACUCAGUUACCCUUGAGAUCACAGGAACAAUAUGCAGGUUAAGAUCAUGCUUCCAUAAGAACAACUUCAGCUGACUGUGUAUCAAUGAAAGACAAGAGGAGGGUUGUUGUUCUGCAAGGCAGCUUUAAACUGAUUUGGUGACUUAAAUAUGCAUUCCAACGUUGUUAAUUUGUCGUUCUGUUAUUAUUAUAAGGGUAAUUUGAUUUCUGAAUAGCGGCUAGCGGACGUUGUGCAAGUCCAGCAGCAGCCCAGAAUUGAACGAAAUAUUUCUCAGUCAAGAAAUCGAGAUGUGACACUGUUUUUGAUUUGUUUUGUGUUUAUAAGAUAUAGACAGUUCAUAAAAUUAUCCAUAAUCCGGCCAGUCCAUUACAGCUUCAUAGAGGAAGAAACCGUUCUGUUGGAGAAACUGUAUCAGAGUGUCUGAUCUAAAGGAAAAUGAGGUAUCUCUAUUAUGAUGAUCAACCUCAAAACAAGAAACAAUGCACUCAUCUUUACUCAACAACUACACAAGAUUUUGUUUAUAUUGGAACGGCGUUUUGAGUCUAUAAUAUACACAGUUUCGACUCUUAUACAUGCUGCAGGUUUUCAGAAGGAUUAUACAGCUUUUUGGAUUUACCUGAUAGCGAAACUUCUCUUACGUACAGAUUAAUGUAAACAAAGUUGAAAAGUAGAUGUUGAAAAUGCUUAAUUAUCGGUGAUCAUCUACUUGGUCCAAUUAAUCAUUGUAAAAUCAUUAUGGGGUUCUGGGAAGUUCUUAUACUAUAUAAUAAACUAGCAUGAUCAAUGAUGAACUGGUGAUGCAGACUUUAGAUAACAUGGGCAACUGACACAAAUAUUAUCUUAGUAGUGAUUUGCAAGCAUCAUUAUAUUAUAAUUUCUUCCAGACAUUCACCUUCCUUGAAGAACAGGAUGAGAUGCUUCACCAAGAUGCAAGUCAUGCAAAUAGUGCCAGGAAAAUUAGGGUAACAGCUUUUCACUGCUCGAUGCGUUUUAAGGAAUAUAUAAAACAAAGAUUGGCUUGUGGAAAUUCUGGACUUCCAAAUCGAAUGGUAAGGUCAACAAGUAGUUUUAUAAGUUUCUUGUUCUAAAUUUUGAAUAUGCAUGCACCCUUUUCUCUAGCAGCAUAUCUCAGCUCAUUGCAUUGAUAUCUGCAGUUCAAAAUUAACAGAAACCCAGGUAAAUUUGUUUGUUCUUAACUUUUCCUUAACGUGAAAGAAGGUUAAGGAUAUCCAGAUUAAGUAGAUUAAUCCGCUUCCUGCUGUGCAGUUUAAGGUAUUUAAUGGGAGGGAGACUUCGAUCUCUGUUCUGGUUUAUAAGAUCGAACAAAAGAAAUGUCAUUAAGAUUCCAAAAAGGAAGAAUUUUCUCGUAAAUUAUAUAUGCAAACUGCUCUCUAUCAUCUCAAUUUUCGCAAACAUAAUAACUGGUCAGCCUUAAGCCCUUAACCGUCUUUCUUCCUGCACGAGAGGCACAUGCUUGUUCAUCAAGAAGUCCAAGCAGGUACAAGUCCAAAUUAGAGCCGGGAACAGGGAUACUUAUACUUUUCAUUAUUGCCGUAUACGUAUCUAAAGGGAACUGGACAGUUCCAUAUAUACACUCUCCAACUCUCCAAUCCGGCAAUCCCAUGAUAACUACUUAGGAUCGAAUUAUGGAUAUGAAUGAUUACCAGCUUUACGUGUCUGAUUGGUCAUUUGUUUUGUGGGGAAAAUGGAAGCGUACUUAUUUGGGUCGAUUCAUCCGAUUACCAAUUGGUUUUGAAUUCGAAUUUCAUACUACAUUAUCAUGGUACGUAUCACAACGUGCGCAAGUCACGGCUACACGGACCCAUGUCUCCUAAAGUUUUCCAUUUGAAGGCUUGAAGUCACAAACCACAUUAGCUUCACUCAAUUAUUGAUCUAUAGGCUUGCAUUUCUUGAACUCAUAUAUGAGCAUUAGUCAAUUCAAUUCUUCAUCCUAGCUAGCUAUCUAUCUAUGGCCGUCCUAUCAACCUGGCCUAGUUACGUUCUCUCUUUCACUCCUCUACCAGUUGAACUUUGAGUAAUGUAGCUAUAGAUUCCCAGCUCGAUCCCUGCAAAGCUAGCCCCAGCUUAAUUUCCUCUUCCAUCUUAGUAGUAAAUGGUAAUAUGUUUUCUGUUGAUUGUCGGCAAACCUGGUUUCUACUGCGCGCACGAGCAAGUCUUCAACUGGUUAGCUCGAUCGUUGAAUAUACUAGACAUGACGGUGGGUGCUUAAAUAUAUGACAAACAGUUGGAGUGGAACAACAUGUGAAAGCUAAGGCACCUUUGAUAUCUAACGCAUGCAACCUAAAUCAUAUCACAAGACAUCUCUCAUUUCCCUUAAUUUAUACACAAGACAUCUCUCAUGACGGAAUUUGAAAUUGCAUACAGCGCUAGCCCUAAUAAUAGUAACCCAUUUGUACAGUACUUAAUUAUAUAGGAUUUGUUUUUGUUUGAUUAAUUUCCCUCAAGUUUGAGUCGUAUAUAUAUACUUCUCUUUUCAGUAACUAAGAAAAAUAAAGCAACUAUCUCAGUAUCUCACGGCCAUGCAUAUAUAUCCUACUUUCCUCUGAUCCGGCAACUCAUGUAAUAAGGUAAAUACAUAGUUUGCAUGCAGCCAUUCCAGAAGGAAGCUACCAGCUCAAACCAAAUUCACCGCCAUGCGUUGUUUAUUACUGUAGUUUGUUAGCUUAGGUUGUUUUUUAAAGUUACCAAAUGGAGAUUCAUGAAACAACCAGAUCUUAUAUGCGAUUGGUUUUGGUACAACGAUGUCAAUUGGAGAUUCAUUGAAACACAAGAUAUGUGAUGUUGAAACAUACGUGCAUCAACAUAUAUAUAUAUGUAGACCCGUCCACCCAACUAGUAUUCCUUUCUAUUCAUCGCCAUCAAUAGAAAAUAUAUACUAAAAAUUAAAUAUGAAACGAGAAUUUUCUUUUUAGAUUUUUCUGUCAAUUUUUCUUAAUCAGAUGGCUACUACUAUUAUUAACAGAAAGUAUAGUGCAAAUACCAAAACCUAGUUUCAUUGAAAUUUUGAAAUGAAACAACUACCAUGACCAUCUCUAAGACCUUAACCUCUUUCAAUCCGUUAAUACUCUUUCCUAUCUAUGAUGACUUUCAUGGAAUGCACGGAUGACAUUUUCUGCGACAGUAAAGAAAACAUGUUUUGUGUAAUAGGCUAUCCGUAUAUCGGCGCAGCUGCUGGCACAGCUUCUUUCUAUUCGAUCUGUCGUUACAUAUAUAUCUGCUACUUCAAAAGAUAUACAUAGAAAAUUAAAUAUGAGUUGUCUUCUGGGCAUAGAAACAAGGAUAAGAAGCAGUGCCUGUCGGGGUCAAUAUCCAUGCUUGAUUGCUUGGCUUCUUCCCAGUACCAGAAAACCGCCCGCUCGAAGCGUCACAUCGAUCAGCUCGCGCGAUACAGGCAUAGCUAUAUAGAAUUAACUUGAGUUGCGAAUCGAUAACUACUAUGAACAUAAAGCAGUGGACCAUUGUGAGAUCAGAUAUAUUGAUCCGUUAUCCUUAUCCAUAGAAGAACACAGCUUCAGACUACUAGCUCGGAUCGAGCAGGUAUUGAAAAUGAAGAACGUACAAUACGGACUGGUAGCAUCAUCAGCAUGCAGCAACAGCACCCCUUAGACUGGCAGGUGCAUGCUUCUUACGGUUGGGAUGAUGAGUUGAUUGCAGCUGCAUGCAAAUGUAACCAUACAAAUAUAAUUAGAGUUGAAACCGAUUAUUAACAUAGAUAUUUGUAUGAGGAAUCAAAUCAAAGUAUAGAAUUAAAUUCACAGCGUUUUAUCAAUUUUAUACUUUAAUUUAGAGAAUGCGGCUUCUAUUACACUAAUUUCUAAAGGCUUUUUACACUUUGAUUAAAGUUGAAGUUUUACAUUUUCAAGUGUAAUGAUGACAACUUUGCCAACGACAUUGACUGCCUCAUCAACUUCGUCAAAUAUACUGUUGAGAUCGAAGGUGAUCAAUUAGAAGUCAAAAUAUCUGUUUCUUCCCAAUAUUAAUUAAGCAAACAAUUAACAAAAAUUACCUUCGCCACAUUUCAGUUAAAUUAGAGUUAAUUAGGGGAUACAUUGUACUCUAAUGAUGAUGCAUUAGCCUUUUUUGUAGUUGUCUCUAGGAGGAAGGAGGUCUAUCCGAUUUAAUUUAUGCAUAUAUUCUUUGUAUGCUCCCAAGUCGUUGGUACGUACGGCUGCUUAUAAUAACGUCCGGCAAGUUUAGGUACUGCAAUCGUACUUUUUGCUAAUGAGAAAGAUGGUGUAGUAACUAUACUUUGGUAAUUUAUUUUCGUUUCCUAGUUUAUCAAUCCUGAUCAGGGGUUAUGUAGGUAAACCUGAAGUGAUUAAGUUUCAGAUAGCCAUUUAGCCACCCAAGCAUUACAGCUUUGUUUGGUAUGAAAAUGAAAUUAAUGACUGCCCUGAUCACCGACCGACAACAGUUAUGCUCGUUUCAUAUGUGGAAGGUGUGAGAGAUGGAGGUUUCUUGAUAAUUCGUUACGCAUCUCCUUUAUUACCUAAUUAGGCAUAUGAUAUAAGUUACUGAUUGUAUGUGUGUCUAUCUAUAGGUAUACUGAUAUGAUCUCUUUGGUUGGGUAUAUCUCAACUGGAGGUGGUUUUCUGGGACAAAAUUAUACCGAGGCUAGAAUAUUAUUCUGCAUCCCACAGUUUUCCUCAUUCUAGUAAUGGAAUUCAUGACUUGUUAAUCAAAGUCUGGAUUUAAAUCAUGUCUACCUUCUCUUCGCAUAAAGAUGUCAAACACAAGCUAGGACAGUGCUCACUGCUAACUCACUGACCGAUCACGCACACUAACGCAUUGGCGAACCACCGGUCCAACUAGUCCUUAUAAAGUCAACUUCUUUCUUUUCCGGCUAACUAUUUGAACGUACAUACACCUACCAACCCAGCCCAUCAUAUAAACCUCCAGUAGUUCCUCACCUCAAAUCUAAACCCAAUCCAUUCUAACUCCUUGCCCCCAUUUCUCUCUCUCUCUCUCUCCCUCUCCCUCUUCCUGAAUUGCAUGCAUCCUUUUCUAUAGCUAGCUUGCUAGUUUCUUGGUAAAUUUGGUAACUUGGUUAUAGACAAUCAUGAGGAAACCCUGCUGCGACAAGCAAGACACGAACAAAGGAGCUUGGUCGAAGCAAGAAGAUCAGAAGCUCAUCGAUUACAUUCGCAAACAUGGCGAGGGUUGUUGGCGUACCCUUCCUCAAGCCGCAGGUAAAUCUAUACAUUAAAACGUAAACAUGUGCAAGGCUAAAAAUUGAGAGAAAUUGCAGAAUAUAGAAAAGAUUGUUUUUUUUUUUGUUUUUUUGUUUUUUGUUUUGAGGUCUUCUUUUCUAUAUCAAUCACAUAUAGAGAAAUGAACAUCAACACAAUUGCUAAUUUCAUCCUUAAUCUUCUUCUCAUGUACUAAUUGCCUGAUAUUUGGAAAUUCAGGCCUUCUUCGAUGCGGUAAAAGUUGCAGACUUCGGUGGAUAAACUAUCUACGGCCGGACCUUAAAAGGGGCAAGUUUGCUGAAGAUGAAGAAGAUCUCAUCAUUAAGCUUCAUGCACUCCUAGGCAAUCGGUAAGAGCCAUAUUAUAAACAGAUGUUAAUCAUUUACAUCUUCUAGCUUCACAAUAUUAUAACUAAUUAACAAUUACGGAGCAAAACUAAUGAAAAUGAUUUACAUAGAUGAACCAUAUAUAUAUGACUUAAUUUUCUACAUGAGAGGUUUUUACUAACGAUAAAUUGUUAAAUGGUUCAAUUUAGGUGGUCGCUGAUUGCCGGAAGAUUGCCGGGACGUACAGACAAUGAAGUGAAGAACUAUUGGAACUCUCAUUUGAGACGAAAGCUUAUAACCAUGGGUAUAGAUCCAAACAAUCAUCGACCCACCAGCACUCUCUUCCCUCGGCCUCAUAAUCAUCAUCAUCAAAACCCACCACAGACACUAAAAUCUCCAGCUGGUUCUGCUAUCAAUAAUUUUAACCAUGAGCCAGUAGUGUUCGAGUCCAAAACUCCGCGUGGUGAUGAUCAAAAUUGCGAGCAGGUCUCGGAUGGCAGAAGUUGCUUAGAGGAUGAUUCUUCUUGUGGUGGUCAUCACCUGCCUGAUUUAAACCUUGAUCUCACUGUCCAUCUCAGGGUUUCUAAUGAUGAUCACCAAUAUCUCAGUAAGGAGCUCAAUCAUCUUCAUCUCAGAAUUAGUGACCCUCAUGAAAUGUCGGUUGGGACAAAGACUGAUAUAUUUGCCUCAUCUACCACGCUUCCUCUCUUCAGAUAAUCGUACAUUCUUCCAUCGACUAGCUAGCUAGCUGGUUAUUAAUUAAUUCAUCCAAUUUUGUGGAGGAUUUCCGCAAUAUGUAAACACUAAUUCUGGCUGGAGAACAAAGCCGGUUAUGAUUUAUUUUUGUCGAUGGGAGGGAGAUCAUGCCUAAAUUUGAAGAAAGCCUACUACCUAGCUUGUUUUUUGGGAGCGAAUUCAACAAAUUGGAAGAACCAUUUGUGGAAAGUUGGCAUGAGCUGAUUGAGCAUGAUAUAUAUCCAAGACCACAAUUAGGUCAAGGCUUUUGAAGACAUAGCUAGCCGCGCAUGAUGUGGAUAAUAUCCUCGAAGAGUAGUAAACAUUUAUAGAGCACAUAUGUGGUUAAUAAAAUGCACUACCUAUAUAUGUAAAUUUGUGAAUUAUUACAUGAACAAGUCCUGUAAUUUAGUUUUCUCUUUAGAUCUUUCACAUUAUCAUCUCUUUGAUCAAUUUUAUUUUCAUUAAUUUUGUAAUCUACAAUUAGCCUCUCAAGUAAAUUGGCCUCUUUUAUUCUCUUAUAGUUUCUUUGAGUCGAUCUAUAACAUUUUUGUUUAAGUUUCUCUUUGUAUGUUCGCUAAAAAAAUGUUUAGCUUUUGUGAAAUUUAUCACUGAUUUAAGUACCCCAUUUACAUGGCCAGUUGAAAUAUCUGAUCUUGGCAUUUGUACAAAAGCAAAUCACUCUUUGACGCCCAUAAUGUUGUGAUCAAAUUCAGAUCUGAAAGCUAACAAAUGGAUGAACUUAACAUUGAACAUUAUGGUUAUUUAAUUAAAAUCCGGGGAAGGGGUUGAGCCUCUCAGCUAGGCUGGGUUCCAAACCCUUUAAAAAAAAAAAAAAAAUAAACAUUAGANAAUUAUAUGAUUGGUAUGCUCCUAUAUCUACAUGCAUGCAUCUCUAAUAUAUUGGCAUUUGGACGUUUCGUUUUUUUUUUGUUAAGUGAGAGUUGACUUUAUCAAUUUAAAAAGAACUUCCAUUUCGACAAGCUUUAGUGUCUUCUCCGAGCAUGAAAUGUACGUAGAAACAUUUUGACGACUAUUCAUGUAUAACUGAUUUAUACAAUAUCUGAGAUGAGAUGCUCGAUUUUGUGCAUAAAUUGAUUUCAAAUUUAGGGACAUUAAAAUGGACUACUGCAUGCGCGUACGUUUGUUUGAUCCAUUUUAUGAACCGAAAGCGAGAUCUUGCAAAACACUCACACGACAUAUAUGCAUGCAUCCGGAUAUGCAAGAUCGGUUAAUGGAGCUGAAAAAUUAGAUCGAUUGUGUUUUCGAACGAUCAGUAUAGAGGGUUAUUGGUGGAUUCUGUGGCUGUGUACUUGUGAUCGAUCAUAUAUAGGAUAGGGAUUGAAUAUUUGAAUGCACACGAUUUUAUAUAGUGAAUAUGAUCGAUCAGUACGUACGUAGUAGUCAUUGGCAUAGAUAUGAUAUCUACCAUUCAAUAUGAUCGCUACCUAGAACUAACAGUCGAGGUUUAGUAAUUUCCCACGCUUUAAUCUUUAUUAUCAGUUAUGUGUGUACUUUGAAGUUUCGAACUGAUGCCGAUAGAACUCAGCGGACUUUUCCUUAUUCUUGAUUGAUAGAUAGGUCAAGAAACUUAGAAACAUCACAGGUACAUGUUGAGUUUUCUCAAAAUGGCAAAUGCAUUAGGGUGAAAAGGUAUGGAAACUACUUCUGCAGGAGUUUAGGGUUUUGACCAUUGAGGUUGGAAGGGAGGUUAUGACAGUUGCAGAGAUCGAUGAUGAUGAAUGGCACACGCUAAUCUAAACCCAGAUCGACCCACCGGCACGUAUGUGGGUCGAUCCGUCUUAUUCUCCGCUGCUGCAACUUUUACUGAUUUGUCUGAGUACAAAGGGUCCUUACAUAUAUUGGCCCGACGAUGUCAACAUGAAGGUACUUGCAACAAGAUGAAACCGAUCCUGAUGUCGAUAUGUUUGAACAACCGACUCUUACGUUGUCGUCGAUCUAUUAAUAACUUGAGCUGCAAGAUGACCCGGUUGCUCUCUUCUGCUGGGGUAAACCUGGCCGAUUGGCAUGGCCGGGACAUACGUACAUUUGGCCUCACUGGCCUGAUAUUGAAGUCUGAAAACUGAAAGCAACGUACAGCUGUCUCCAUCCAAUUCCAAUUUUCAAACCAGUUAGUGUUCGUUUGUUGCAGGAAACGAUGUUAGUUGAACUGUGGGGAUAGCAAAGUAUAUGGACCAGGCAAUAAUCAAAGUAGCAGAAGAGUUGUGUACGUGGCUGAGCACAAAUGGAAGAUGUAAAGGAGUAGAAAGCUUUCUUCGAUGAAACAAAGGAGAAAGAUGACUGCAGAGAGAAACAGAAGUUCAACGGAUAAAACAAUCAGUGAGUGGUUAAUUUAAUUUACUGGGAAUGGUAUAUAUAUGGAUGUUCUUUUGGAUAAAUUCCUCACAUCUUACUGCAGAAACAUAGUAGCUAAAGUGGGGCAUGCGUAUGCUGUUGCUCAACAAAACUAGGGUUUGCAACCACCCUUCUCAGUUUAUGCCCGGAAGUAGUUGAAGGCACAUUUGCAUAUAUGUCAAUGCCAUUCUUCUUGCUCUCGAACUUUUUUUUAAGUCAAAUAGCUUGCUAGUCUCAAAUCCUUGUUUGAUUAGUUGAUCUAUUAGUUCUGACCCUGCUGCAGCUGUAACGUUAUGUUUGUGUAAUAUGAAAGCAACCUGAUGACUAGAUAAUUUCCACAUCCUUCGAGAUUGAAGACAACGAAACCAUUCUCUUACUCAACUUCAACCUGAAAUUGCUUUGUUAGAUGCUAAAGAAAUCAUAAAUUUGAUUAAGAUCUCUGCGUGCGUUAUAACUUAUGAAUCAAGUAUUAGUGAUCGAUCGAUUAGAAGCAAUCUGCUGCCUUGAUCUAAACUCUUCACACCGACUUUCCAAACUUAGCAGUUCUGAAAGAGUCAGCCCAAACUUGGCUUGCAAAGUCUGAGCAUGAUUUCAUGAAUUACUGGCAACUUUUGGUGCCAUGAUGCAGAUCGAAACGUACGUACUAUUGAUAAUCAUCAAGAUUAUCAUAUUGAGAUUGUAUAUUCAAAUGAUUUGUAUAUUCGCUAAGUAAUGUAGUGAUCACGGAUCUGAGAUCAGAUUAGCUAAUAUGGGAAUGAAUUCAAAAUCCGUAAUAUACACUAAUUAAUUUGACCAAUAUUUAUGUUUCACUAUGAUAAUGAUCUAUUCCUAUUUCCCAGCAAUUCAAUCAGUUUGGUUUGAACUUUGAACAAGAUACUCCACUAAACUGUAUAUUAUACAGGGCCCUUCCAAUGAGGGAUCCCUAUUUUAAGUUAUUUAUAAGGAUAGGGCAUUACACCAACUUCCCGAUUAUAAUUUUACAUCUCCACCGUUCAUAUCUUAGGUCUAUAUGAGUAGAUCACCUCUACAAAAUUUCAUAUGAUUUGGUGAUUGUUAAGGCUUUCAAAAGUUCAAUUUAGUUUUAAUGACCUUCAACGGUUUUAGUUUGACAUAAGCUGGACCGUUCAAAAUCAUUAAAACUAAAUCAAACUUUUGAAAGUCUUAACGAUCACCAAAUCAUAUGAAAUUUUGUAAAGGUGAUCUACUCAUAUAGACCUAAGAUAUGAACGGUGGAGAUGUAAAAAUUCAAUUGGGAAGUGGUGUAAUGCCCUAUCCCUAGAAAGUGACCAAAAAUAGGGAUCCCUCAAUGGAAGGGGGCUAGUAUAUUAUAUCCUAACAAACUUAUGGGCCAGAGUUCAUAUCAGAUGGAUUGGAUUGGCUAUUCACUGAAGUUUUAAGUAGUGUGGCUCAAUUCCUCAAUAUAUAAUUUCAAGGCCCAAGUAUGGGUGCCAAUCUAAGAGCAACCAGUGUUGCGCAAAACCUAAUUUUAACCUAAUCAAGUGACCAAGUCGAUCUCACAUAAAUUAGGCAUGCAAAUUAUUGCUCACUUUAUCUGAACGUCGGACGAGCUAGCCAGAGUCUCCACCGACACAGCUGGGAGGUUGGCAACUUGUCAUCGGCCAAGUCAUUGAUCUCCGAUAAUAUAUAUCUUAAAAUCCCAAUCAUCUUUGCAAACAAUCUCCAAACAUAUAUACUACAACCGAUAAGUUAAAUCUACUUCUGUUUUGUUUUCAGUGAGAUCCAAACCACAAAAGAUGGCUCCGGAAUCCUCUUAAGCAUAACAGAGAAGAUAAGCAUGAAUUCAUACAGGGUCGGGUAUAGAUUCGAUUAGGUUGGAAUGCAUUUCUGGUUUUUGGUUAUUUUACAAACUAGAAAACGUACAAGUCCGACAUGAUCAACAUCAAAUGCAAUUGGAAUAUAUCCAUUUUUGUGACAUUUAUGGUUGAAAUGAUGAUGUAUAUACAUAUAUUGCAAAUGGAAAACUGUGCUAUGUGUGUCAAAUACCAACAAGAAAUCCCUGUCUCAGAGAUAUAACCAAUAUAUGGCCGCCCAAACAAAUUAAUCAAGUAAACAGUGGCAUAUAUAUAUAUAUAUAUAUAUAUAUAUAUAUAUAUAUAUAUAUAUACGUAACGUNNNNNNNNNNNNNNNNNNNNAAAUAUAAACAAAUGUUGUAGAACCAUAUCAAAUUCAAAUGUAAUCCACAAGAAUUUUCCGAUCAAGAAAUAUAUCUGGACCAGCUAGCUAGCUGGCUGUUGAUCUAUUCAAUCCUUCCUAACAUAAACCGCAUAUAUCGAUCAUAUAUCUUUUCCUCGAUCACUCUUACAAAGUGGACGCCCGCAUUCUUAAUAGAGAACGAGGAAUUGCAUGUUCUUGAUUAUUUUGUAUGUUGUGAAGGUCAUAAGAACUGUGUGUAAUGAUUCUAUGGUAAAAACAACAGUACGUAUGUAAUAGUCUAAUCUUCAUCAUUUGAGAGGCUGCGGAAUGAAAUGACUAAAGCGGCCAUAUCUCUUUGUUUACAUCAAAAUAUAUCACAACUCUUAACAUAUAGCUAGGUGACGUACAGUUGCAAAUGUAUACGUCCUACAUAUAUAUACUUCGAUGGUAAUUAGAACUCUAACACACAAUAUAGUAAAAUUUUAAAACUGUAAAUGCCAUAGAGCAGAACAUCUGGCUUCACCUCGUUCGUUCUUGCAUGGAUGCAACGCACCCUUCUAUAUCUACCUCAAUUGUUAAUCAUAAAUCCAACCAUCUAUCUAUAUAUAUGUUAUAAUUAAUCAUAGAAGUUAUCAUUACAGAAAAAUUUGAGUAUACGGAUGGCAUUGCCACUUGUAACGAAGUAUGAAUCACUAAAUAAUUCCCGUAAUCAAAGUUUUAUUGAAGAAAGUAAGGCCAAAGAAAAAUGUCAAAUGACAACUUAACCAAACUUGGGAUGAUAUGCAUUUUUAUGGCUGCACGUCGUUCUUGAAUUCUAAAUUGGGGGAACUCCAUCAAGAAAAAAGACUAAUUCAAAACAAAAAAGAAAAACUCAAGUUAACCAUACUUUAGGGCUAAUUCAAAUUUACAUCAAGAAAAACUAUAGACUGUUUCUUUUAUAAGAAGCUUAAUGGUAGCUUAAUUUAUCGUCUUCUAAGCAAAAGGCUAAUUGUUUAUGAGCCGGCAAACAACUUAUGUUUGUCAAAGUCAUACUCGAUUCAGCAUAUAUACACUACUUGCAAACUUUAUAUCACAUUCCAAUUUAUUACAUAGUAUGAAUAUUCUGCUAACGAUUCAUUUCACAUCCAACAUUACUUGACACAUAUAUUUAGUCUUUAAUAUGUGUUAAUAACGCAAUGUUGAGCCUUAUCAUAACACAUUAAGUUAUCGUGUAAAAAAAUAAACGUCUCUUCAGUUAAUAUAAUGCAGUCAUUAAACUCAUGAACAUUCAAAGUAUUAUGCAUCUCAAUAAUGGUGUGGUGCACUGCUAGAUCUCCCAAAGUGUAUCUUCCACAACCAAGGCAAGAUCAUCAGCACAAGAAAAUUUCUUGUUUAAUCAAAUUUCUUCACAAAAAAAAAAACAGAGGCCGACCGCCGACCUGUAUGAGGCGCUCAUUGUUCGCGGAAUAUAAUAAUAAACAAAGAUUGGGCGGGGGGAUAAUUGCCCCGCCUUUCCAGGCUUGCAGGCCAACUCACCCAAAGGGCACAACCGUCUUUCCACCUCCAUCUUAAGAGAUCGUCGUCCUCUUCAUUUUUUAAUUUCCAAAUCUUUUUAUUUUCCAACUGUUUCUUCUUGUUUUCUCUCUGCUUUCUUCUCCUUCUUCUCCUCACUCUCAUAAUCCCAUGACCACCACCCAUUUCAACCGCAUUCUCACUCCGCUUCUUCUUCUCCGGUCGUGAAACCCCUCGCCACCCUCCGAUGGCCGGCGCCGACCACCACCACCGCGCGUCGGAGCUUCUGCAACUCGUCCACGACGUCGUCGGCGCCGAUAAGUCCUCCGCCGCCGGAGUGUUCAGGAAGGAAUGCACCGAUCUGGUGCGGCGGAUCGCGCUGCUGACGCAUUUGUUCGAGGAGAUUAGGGACUUCAAAGGCCGCGAGUUUCUAAAUGCUUCCACUUCUUCCGGCUCGUCGGAGCCUUGGGUUUCCGAUCUGGUCACGGCUCUUCUGGCCGCGAAGCGGCUAGUAGUCAACUCCAGCUGCGCCGCUCCUGUGCUCGCAGUAAGUCACUGUUUUGCUAUGCUAUUACCUCUCAGAUUUUUCAAUUUCAAUAUCAUAUCUUGUUGUGCUGUAGAAUCGGAAUGUACUAUACUUCAUAGCGGAAUCGAUAGUUGUUAGUUUGUGUUUAGUCGAUUUCGCAGUUUUUCGAGCUGUUCUGAGCUGAAUUAGUAGUGAAAUCGGAGGUGAAUUUAUGUUUGAAUUGGUUUGUGAUGAUCAGGAGGAAGCAAAGAAGAAGAUAAGCUUCCAUUUCCAAUGCGCCACCUGGAAAUUGGAGAAGGCGCUGGGUGGAAUACCGUAUGAUCAGUUCGAAAUCUCAGAGGAAGUUGAAGAACAGGUGAGACUGACCGAUUCGCUAGAAUCUUGUUCAUUUACUAAGCAUUGAGCUGUUUUAUUUUUUCGUUUACAAAUUCAAAAGAUUUAUGAGUAAAAAGGGUUCUUUUUUUGGUGAAUGUGGUUAGGUUGCAUUGGUUAGAUCACAAUUGAGAAGAGCGAUUGAAAGAUAUGGGUCGUUGGUUACGAGGAAAAUGUCAUUCCAUUGCCUCCCUCAGUCUCUGGUAGAGUCUGGCAAAUGGGUGCAUGUCGUGGAGGAUAAUAGUAGUUCAAAGAUGACGAACAGUCUUCCCAAGAGCUUUAGUGCUGAUGAUCUGGUUCAUAAAUUGCAAAGGAUGAGUAAUUUUCGUGUGGCAGAGUUGCCCUCACUCUGCUCGACAAAUGGAACUCAUGUUGUUGGUGACGAAGAUAUGAACAAGAAGCCUGACGCGACUGUCAUCCCUGCUGAUUUUAUAUGCCCAAUAUCUCUGGAACUCAUGAGAGAUCCUGUUAUUGUGGCCACUGGUCAGGUAUGCUAGAUGCUAAAUCGGUUGUUUCACUUUCUAAAUCCAUCAAAGUUCUUGCCUUGGCUAUGGUAUUUUGAUUUAUUCCUGAAACUCAACAAUCUUUGGCUUGCUGGUUCUGCAGACGUACGAGAGAUCUUACAUACAGAGAUGGAUAGACUGCGGAAAUACAACCUGUCCGAAAACUCAGCAGAAGCUUCAAAACUUGACAUUAACUCCAAACUAUGUCUUGAGAAGUCUAGUUGCUCAGUGGUGUAUUGACAACAACAUUGAGCAGCCAACGGGAUUAACAAACGGUAAACUCAAGAAGAGCGAUGGAUCCUUUCGUGACAUUAGUGGGGACAUAGCGACCAUUCGAGCUCUGGUAAGCAAGCUUGCAGGUCGAUCAAUUGAGGAGCGGAGAGCAGCUGCAUCAGAGAUUAGGUCACUGUCCAAAAGAAGUACUGAUAACCGAAUACUUAUUGCAGAAGCGGGUGCUAUUCCAGUACUGGUCAAUCUCUUAACAGUAGACGAUGGCUUAACACAAGAGAAUGCAGUAACGUCCAUUCUCAACCUCUCUAUAUAUGAAAACAACAAGGGGCUCAUAAUGCUUGCUGGUGCUGUUCCUUCUAUUGUCCAAGUCCUAAGAUCUGGAAGCAUGGAGGCGCGAGAGAACGCAGCAGCGACCAUUUUUAGUCUGUCGCUUGCUGAUGAGAACAAAAUAAUUAUAGGUGCAUCAGGAGCAAUUCAAGCUCUGGUGGAAUUGCUUCAAAAUGGGAGCACAAGAGGGAAGAAGGAUGCCGCAACAGCGCUGUUCAAUUUGUGUAUUUAUCAGGGCAACAAGGGCAGGGCUCUCAGAGCGGGGAUAAUUACAGCUUUACUAAAGAUGCUAACUGAUUCAAGCAAUUGCAUGGUUGAUGAAGCACUGACCAUUAUGUCAGUUCUUGCUAACCAUCAAGAGGCAAAAGUUACUAUAGUAAAGGCCGGCACAAUACCUGUUUUGAUAGACCUUUUGCGGACAGGUCUGCCUAGAAAUAAAGAGAAUGCAUCUGCCAUAUUGCUCGCAUUGUGCAAGAGAGAGACCGAGAACCUUGCCUGCCUAAGUAGGCUUGGUGCAGUCAUACCAUUGACAGAGCUCACCAAGAGCGGAACAGAGAGGGCCAAAAGGAAGGCUAGUUCAUUGCUGGAGCAUCUUCGGAAAUUGCAGCAUGUGUAACAACAGGCCUACACGGGUAACGCCAUUGAUUUCCAAAUUGUUAAUCAAUAUCCCUCCAAAUUUUUUUGUUUCUUUCUCAAUGUAUGUUCCACUGUUCCUUUUUUUGUGGUGUGAAACUGAGAAUACGAGAUUGAGAUGAUCAAGUCAAUCGAUCUCAAUGCAUUGUAUAUUCAUUUUCUUCCUUGUUCAAGAGUGCAAAGUGCUGAUUUAAUACAUUGUUCUGCUGUAACAUUCUUUUCCUUCACUCACAAGACGCGCUUUUCCUCCUAAUACCAUUCUUCUGGUAAUCCAAAUGAGAAGCAAACCUGUUUAUGGAUAAUUGAAUUUCCGGGUCAUAGACAGAGUUUCUUUGCUGUAAUCGUGGGCUCAUGAGACCUACCAAGUUGAUUAUGAGUUUGGUUUACAUCUCAUAAAGUAGAUGAAAGGACACUUAAUAAGAUGAUCACGUUUACAACUGUACUUUGACAAUACAACAAUAUUCCUGUUGAUUUUGGAUGCCAUUGUUCGUUGAAUUUGGGGUAUCAAAUCCUUAUCUUUAGGAUAGUGACCGUCUACAUCUUCUGUAGUAAAUUAGUACCUUAAACUUCACCGCCCAUGUCUUUGGUUGAUCACAACUUACAAGCAUUCGAUAUGUCUUAUUGAUCCGGACCUGGUUUUGUCCAGUAAUAGGGCACUCCUUACUCCUUAGUAAGCAUUCGAUUUGAUUUCAGCCGAGAACGACGAUUAGCGCUAUCGUCGCCAAAUGAUGUUGUCCUUAAUGCUUUAGGAACAAUACUAGUGUUACUCUGCCGGAGAAUUUCUGUUGGUGUGCUUCCUUUACUCCACCGGACGGCAUUCUAAAUCAUGUAAAGAUUCUGAUGUAGGAUGAGAAUGGGCCAAACUUAGACAAAAAAAAGAAAAAGUUAGGAAGCGGCGAAUAAUAAAAAAGAAUGAUUUGAAGAUCGGUAAUUCACGUGUCAAGAGGUUGCUAGCUGUUGUAAUAUUCAAGAUGUUGUUUUGGACUUUCUGGGUUGUUUGUGCGAAAUCUGAUUUCCAGAAACAAAUAUGAUUUAAAGCAACUUUUGACCAGAAUGUCUGUUUGGAACGCAUAAUACAUUUUCGGAAUGAGAAUGACGAGAUCUAUAAGACUCAUUAUAGUGAGCCCUUUCAAAUUAAGGCCAAAAGAUAUUGUUUUAUUAAUCCGAUUCGACAUUUAGUAUUAUUUUAGGUUUUUUUAGUUUAUUUUAGAUUUUGUUUUCUUUUAACCUAAUUGGCUUUUAGGCUUGGUUGUUAGUUGCUCUAGGGUUUAUUUUCCUAUAUAAGGACAUUUAAUUGGUUGUAGUCGUCAGCUUUUAAUAAUAAUAAAACCCUUGAGUUUAUCUCAAUUCUCCGGUGAAUUCCAGAUUCUCUCAUGGAUUCGAGAAAACCUAGGCUUGUAGAUUCAAGUCGCUGAUUCCAACAUUUAUAUUUCAGCUGCAUCAGAUUCCCUGCUUGUUUUCUUUCGCAAUGUCGACAGAGCGGUAUGCAUUGAACAUCUUCCUACUCAGAGCUCAGUUUUGGAAGUUCCAAAGUCAUAAAGCACGUUUAUAUUGGAUGGUUUAUGAACCCUACUAAAUACUAAUGAAUAAGCUCGUCGGUUUGGUUUGAUUAGUUUGGUGUAAAGCAUAAAGCAUGAGUACGUUGGAAUUCCAUUUGCCCCAAAAUGAAUAGUAAUAGCUAGAUGACGAGACAGAAAAAUACCGGUAUAAUCUUGCUUCACGCAAACUUAGUUUACAUCGUAUUUGGGAUAGAUAGUCGCAUCAAUGUAGUAUCAAUUUGAUCCAUGUUUGUUACAAGAUAACACAUUGAUCAAUUUUUCACUGAGCAUAUGUUCAAUUUGUAAUCCAAACGAAGACGAGAGACUGUGGAGGACAGCACUGAUGCAUUAGAUGCGUACCUGGAACUAAUACCAACAUUCUACAUUUCUACACGUUAACUUCGAAUCAUAGUUGCUUAAUUGGGCAUUGAAACUUUCAGGCUAUACGUCUAUCAAAAGAAGAACGACAAUUACGUAUACAAAGGAUGAUCGAGUCGGUGAAAUUUCAUUCUUUCUUUUUGUCUAAGAUGAUCUUAAACUUUAGCCGCUUUUUAAUUCCAAGUUGAUGAGCUGAGACCAUACUUUUCACCCAACACUAGUCUCAGUCUACUAGUCCACUUCAAUGUUCUCAGAGUAUAUACACAAUGAGAAGCCCGAAUUCAGAUGAUUAAAUCAAAGAGGUAAUGUCAAUUAAAGGGUUGUUGAAUCUUAAAAAAAGAAAAACGGCUUAGAUAUGCUUAUUUGUAUCCGAAGCAAAUCCCAAUUAUAAAACUACAUUUUGAGUCUAACUACUGUUCCAAAAGGACUGGCCAACCGCGCCUUGAGGCUCAAGUUGAGGCUCAAGGUAUUGACAAAACACGAGUCUUAAGGCUUUGUCAUAAACUCAUCAUAAUCUUAUUGUUGAUAGAAUAUGUCAAUAUGAUCACUAGGACUUGCUUUAAGUGACGGUUUCCCUUGAAGAGGCACUUUAGGCAUUACCCUCGCUUGUAAUGUGAGCACGGGCACGGGAUUGGCAAUCAAAGAUGAGUAGACAUAAGCACCGUUUGCCUCGCUAGCAAUGGUUAUCCACCCUUAAUCUCACUUGAAGUGAACAUCACUAACCUUGCUUAUCAUAUAUACCGGCAGUUAACAUCGCUUGCUGGAGCUAGGAAUACACGUUUAGAGGGGUCAUAUAAAGAAUUAGUAUGUAAUUUUUUCAUCGAAACUUGAUAAUUUAACUAGAUGGUAAAGAUAACUGAAGAAACCAUGGGAUACCAUGACACCCUUUGGUCUAGUCGUAGCUCCGCCUAUUCGCUUGUCAUGCCGAUGUUAACCUCAUUUCAGUCACUUGCAUAUGAACUUCAUGAUCUUUCAUGAUAAGGCUUAGGUCUAGUCGUACAUGAAUGCCUCUUUGUCUUUAGAAUACACGAUCUCAAGUACGUAAUCCAAAGAGAAAUCUUAAGCACGAGAGCCGUGAUUAUCGUAAGUUGUUUGUUCACAUUCUUUGAAUAUGAACAAAUAGGAUUAUGCAAUCAUCUUUGUUCCAUACAUCACGGGUUUUUGGAGCUAUAUCCAAUGGAAUAUGAACACACGAUGGUUGUUGAAAUAACAAAACCCUGUUUAAACGACGACAAUUUAGGGUCGAAAGUGAAAGGUUACGUACUUUAGGCUUUUGUCAUAAACUAACCUCUUUCUAAAUAAUUGCUUUGUUUGACCAACGACCAUUUAUAUGGGAAUCGUUCUCUCAUACCUAUCCUGGAACUCCUUCUCUGCAUUACCCCAAAACACUAUUAUCAUCAUCUGUGAGAGCGAGCCAACCCAGCUGAGGGAAUUUGGAUCCCAAUGGGAAACAGUUUGGGAAGCAAAAAGAAAGCAAAGGUUAUGCAAAUUAGUGGGGAGACAUUGAAGUUGAAGACGCCUGUCCAAGCUGGUCAGGUAAUGAAGAACUACCCUGGUCACGUUUUGCUUAAAUCCCAAGAGGUAAAGCAUUUAGGGAUACGAGCAAGGCCUUUGGAGCCACACCAACACCUUGAGGCCAAGGGAGUCUACUUCCUUGUGGAGUUGCCAAAGGCAGCUGCAGCUCAUAGUUUUAGUGACAAAGUUCCGAGGAGAGUCCGGUCCGGAAUAAACAUGACUGCCAAGGACAGGCUUGAGAGUUUAAUGCUGUCUCGGAGGUCGGUUUCCGACCUCUCCAUGAUGAGAUCGAUACCCGAGAAAUCUCAUCAAGAUGGGCCGGUGAGGGUGAGGAUGAGGCUUCCCAAGGCUCAAGUUGAGAUGCUGAUGCAGCAGAGCAGAAAUGAGGAAGAGGCGGCAGAGAAGAUUGUGGAUCUCUGCAUGGUUAAUGCCAACAUUGGUGGUGAGUUCAAUGAGAAGGAUGGUCAUGGAAAAGUGGUUAAACAAGCCACCAAGAUGCGUGAGGUAUGGCUUCUUCUUCUUCUUGUUUCUAAGACAUGGAUCCUGUUUUUGUGGCAUUUUAAGUGGUUUCAGUUUUUGACAUUAUGGUUCAGUUUCGGUUUUGCUUGCUUGAAUCAUUGAGUAGAUAACAGGGAGACAUUCAACUAAGUUGGUGGACCGUACCUAUAACUAAGUACAAGUUAUAUGACAGUCUAUUCUAGUAUUCUUGGUUGUUGGACCUAGCCUAAUUAGGAAUAUUUGAAUGAGUUUUAAUGUUUUAUAAAUAAUUUUCACUAUGUGAUUAGUGCUCUGAUCCUUGACACAGAUUAGUUUCUAAGUUUAGAAAGUCUUUAAGAACACCAUGUGAUUUUGAUGAAAAAGAAAACUGUUUUCUCAACUCUCAAACAUCCCUUGAACUUGGUCUAAGCUCAAGCCAGAAAAAAAAAAACCUUGACACUUUAACUUCAGGUUUUCACAAAUAGUGUAAGAAACCUACUUGUUCAUACAUACACUGUGACAAUCAAAAUGAGACUAUAUGAUAAGAAUGAUCAGACAGUCAAACAUUUCACCUGCUUUAUCAGCGUAGUGAGCAUUGCAAUAUGUAUGGUGCUUAGACUUUGCUACCCACCUUAGCUGGUUGGACUUGAACCCAACUUUCAUAUGCAUUUUAGGGAAGUUGGUUACAAUGAGCACUAAUUAGUCAACCCUCUGUUACCACACAACAUGUUUUGGUAGCAUCUUCAAGGGAAACCCUUUUUUUUAUGUUUGACAUUUUGCUCCAAUUAGCACUCUACAAUCUACAUCCUAAAACUUACGAAGUUUAAGCAACUAUCACAAUGAGCACUAAUAUGUGAACGCUAAAUCAUUUUCAUUCUUGUUUUGGAUUGCUUGAACCUGCAGAAGCGAGUGAGCUUCCGAAAUGAAGGAGAAAUACAAAUAGCUGUGGGUUCUUAACAAGUAGAGGGCAGCUGGUAAUCGAAAUGUUCGUGGCGGUCAAGAAUCGAAGGCUAUAUGCUGUCUAUAGUCUCUUUCAGUUUGCCCAGUUUCAGAUCAACCAACUGAUGUAGAAUGAGUGCUUGAUCUUCUUUUCUACUUAUCAUAUGAUGUGAACCCAAAUAUACAGUAUAGAUAAAAGUUGGAUUUUAAGGUUAAAGAUGUACAACUGAAUUCUAUCCCAAAAGUGCAUUCCUAAGCUUUCCGGAAUUGCAAGGUGACAUAAGGUAGCUGUGUACAUGUGAAUUAAAAUGAACAUGUGCUUGGAAAUUUCAUGGCAUGCUCUUAACAUGCAUUCCCAGAUUCAUGUACAUGUGCCCAGAAACUUGAAAAGAGUAUAGCAUGAGACCAAUUGAACAUUGAUAUUUUACUGAUGAAGAACAUGGAACCAGAAAUCCACCUAUCAAAUUUUUACAGUAGUCUACGUUUACAUCACAUUGCUAAGCCUACUUCACCCUAGGACUGGUAACUUGAACAAAAUAACAGUUGCCAGCUCCAGACAGUAACUUGGGUUACUUUCUGCCCCAUAUACAAAAGAAAGGGAAGAAAGAAAAACCCACCCCCUCAAAAAAGAAAAAAUUAUCAGAUGGAGGGAUUUCCCUCCUCUCUGUUUAUCAGCAGCAAUACCCCUAUUUUAUUAAUGAACACAUUUAGUGGAUAAAAGAAUGAAAUGAUGCAGUUCAGGAAGACCAUUGAUCAGGUACAGUGAGAAAAUAGGUAGUCAUUGCCUUACGGAAUCUUUUCUUGUAUUGCUUGGGAGAGAUUAUUGUUGGGGAAGAAUUCUUCGGACCACCAAGUAUGCCAGAUGCCUUGACCCAGGUCUCCAAAUGCUUGUCCCACGUAUAUUGUCUCAUGAAAUCAAUGAUCCCCAAAACCAGUUCCUUCCGCUCAUCGUCUACCCCAACCAGCAGCGAGUAGUCCAUUACAUCAACAGACUGUAGCAAAGGCAGUUAUUCAAUGAGUGCUAUUAUAUUCAGAUUUUAAUCUGGUUCAGAUAGAUGCAAUUGUAGGCAUAGCUGAUUUUACUUUUUUAAAUAAAUUAUUAGCAUUUAUAACUGAAAGCAGCACUUUUUCACCUGAUGUUUUGAUCAUAUGAGAUGACACAUGACAGUGUCCAUUCUAAGCACAGUCAAAGCUGUGAUACAUUUGGAAAUAAUUUUAAAAAUCUCAAUGCAUCCAUGGUAUAAAUCUGUGAGAUGCAAGAGAAAGGAAAGGGGGUGAAGGGACAGAAGGCAUACCGCUAAAAAGUUUGUGUCAUUCCAAAUUGAUCUUUCCAGGCUUCUCUUCGCUUUGCUUCCAAGAAAUAUGGGUUUUGUACGGAGUGAUUCCAACAAAUUCAUGUCCAACAGUACUUUGUUUGCGCCUGUAGUAUCAGAAUUGUAACGUGAUCGAGCAGACCCCUUGAGAUCAUAUACCCUUGAUAUAUUUCUUUUAAAGAAAAGGUUCUCCAUCACCAUCAAAUCCAUUUUAGUUUCCUUCCCACCUUUCAGGUGUUUAACAGUGACCUGCCAACACACCCAUAUCACAAAAUCAAAGUCAAUACUCAUCAAGAUGCCUAUACAACAACAAAGAAACAAGAAACCGAGAAGGAAGUCCUAACCUGAUAUAUACCAAGAAUUUUUGCAAGACAAGUAGGGCUUCCAGAGCCAAGAGAAUCUGUCAAAUAUUUGAAAUACUCGGGUGCAAAUUCCUGAAAGGAUUCCAACUCCGUCUUUGUAACCUGCUUUAUGAUGAAUCUAUCAUCCAAUGAUUUGGCAAAAUAUACAUUGCUUUUCCCCCCUUGUGCACUCCAUCUUUGGCAGCGGCUCAAGGAUCGUACAAAAUCCACUUCAUUAGGGCAGCAUAUCUUCCUAAGAGAGUCAAAAUGCUUUGCAAAAUAACAAGUCACAGAAAACUUCACUUUGCCUCCCGCAUUUGAGGACUCGUCCCCAAAGGAAAUCCUUAAGUGUGGAGAUUUCUUGGGAUCUGCAAACAAGUUACUCAUAGAUGAUGAAGCAUCUUCAGAUCCAUAACUUCCAUGGUGGAUAUAAUCCAAGUCCAUAGAACCAAAAGAUUGCCAUGGUGAAAAGGUGGGAGCUGCUGAAUCUUCUUUGAAGCUUUCAUGAAUGUUCCAAGUGCCCUCAUGCUCAUUCAACUUAUCACCAAUCCAGUCCUCGUAAUCCUUAGAACUAAGGGCAUACGAUAUAAUGCUUGUGGGCUCACUGUCAUAAACACCAACAACUACAUUAUUGUUGGUUGUCUGAGAAAGCAGCAACCGGACUCCAUCAGCUAUUUGAGAUGCAGAGGAGAUAAAUGAGGGUGUGGAACUUAGUAUUACGUUUAACUUCUGAGCCUCUGACGGCAAUGCCUGAGAAUAAGUCCUUGUUACACUAUAAAGAGGAUCUCUCAUCAUACUCCUGUAAUCUCCAGAAGCAUGAAAUGAUCGUAGUGUUGACAAAUGCAACGAAGAAGGUGGCAACCCUUUCCUUAUCCUUUCUUGAAAUCUUACAGCUGAAUCAAACGAGUGAACUCUCAUUGGUGACACCAGCUUUCUGAAAGGAGGAUCAUCAAAUUGGCUCGUUGGCCUAACAGCAGCAGGUUGGACUACAUCUGCCUGUGAUGCAUGAAGUGGUUGAGCUUUCACCAAAAGUUGAUCAGUUCCCGUCCAUGCAGAAUCUAUUCUCUCAGAAAGAGUAGAAUUAUGAGAGGGUAAGCUUUCAAAGGAUGUCUCAUCAACAACAAUAUCCCUAUCUGAAUGCAUAUCCUCCUCAGGUUCUUUGUCUGACAGCAAAUCAUUUCCAGGAGGCACCAGAAAUUUUGGAGAUUCAGACACAUCACUACCUUCAUGGGCAAAAUCAAGUCUGUCAUCCUUACUAGAUGGAUCAGUACUCAAUUCUUGCAGGUAGCCAGCAGAUACAACCCCAUUUGUAGCCCUGGAAACUGGAUUCUUCUGAAUAAGUGAAUCCAACGAAUAAAGCUGGCGAUCCCAAACAUGAGAACCAAUUAAAAGAGAUCUUCUUAAGCGAUUUAACUCCAGAACGUCUACUACAGCCAUUUGUCCAGGGUCAGAAGUCUCCACGAUAGCAGGUUGCAGAAAACCCUAUUAACAAACAAGGAAACUAGAUUCAAUUUCCAUAAGGCAUUAGAAAAGAAAUAACAAUAACAACACAAAACAAUUACGAGGAUAUGCACUUGAGCUUCCCAUGUAACUAUCUGAUCAGUCACAAUACUGAGUUUUAUACUUACAAUGUAGUCAUUCCUCUCCUUUUUAAGCUGAUCUUUCAGCUCCACAAUGUGGUUCUGUAAUCCACCUGCACCUGACAUUUCACAUCCAAAAGAUCUAUUCUUUUCUUCCAUGUGGUCAAGUACAUCAGAUAUCUCCGCAUAUAAGGUUUCCAUCUUUCCCAUGAGCUGAUAUAUAAAAAAUAUUAAAUGAAUGGUACUUAGAAUUGUGAUGUAAGUAUCAUAAACUACAUAACUGGUUGAAUACCAGUCCAGGAAAAAUCAUUAUUAAGUGGAAUUAAGUUCUCUAAAGCACCUCUGUUGCCUCUUUUCUUAUCCAAUCUGGUUGAACUUGGCCAUUGAAUUCAAGCACCGAAGGUGGCAAAUGGACAGAAAGAAUGUCAAUGGGGGAAUAUCUGAAGAAUGCCACCAUGCUCCCGAAUCUGUUACACAACAGUAGUCAAUUUUUUUGUUUUUAUAGGAUCACUUAAUAUGAAAAAAGUUAAUAGCCAAUCCAACUAGUACUUACCCAUAGUAACGGAGACAGUCUCGUUGCAAUGAAUGACCACAAGUAGCAACACGAUUAGCAGUUGCAUGGUUUGAAAAGCUAAGUUCCAAGAACUUUCCAAAAGAAAGUCCCCAGGCAGCAUCUGACAUGACUACUCUACGUGUUGCCGGUGGAACUCCAUCUAUAUGGGCACACCUCAGACAACGGUGCCACAUCCAUAUUUUACCAUCUCUUUCCCCAGGUAGCUUCAUUGAAGGAAGGCGUCUCACAUUAAUGGUAAGGUUUCCUUGUUGAUGGGUGUAACAUGAAACAUGGGCCUCGGUUGGCUCUUUACAAGAUCGACAGAAAGAUGUCUGCAAGUUAUGAACCUCAUUAGCUAUAAUUCCAUUCUAUAACUUGGAAUAUUAUAAAACAACAAAGAACUACCUGAUCAAAUAGGUCAUCACGAAGGUAUCUGCCCAGUGGCUUAUCAAAGCAGCCAUAGAACUUUAUUCGCAGAAGUCGGGAGCGUUCACAAACAGUUCCUUUCACACAAUGGCUUGAAAAGGAUACCAAUAUGCUUUGAUGAGUGUCAGCAGUAGAGAAGUACUCACUGGAAGGCUCAUUCUGAUCAAUCUUCUCAGAGCUCGUCAAUUCAUGAAUAUCCUCAUGUUGACUCUCAACAUGAGGCAAGGUAUCUUGCAACUCCAGUUGGGAAAUACAUUUUGUUGCAGCAGACUGUGCAAUCAGUGACGAUAUAUCCUUGUAUUGAUGUGAAGAAGUGUCUGAAAACAUGUGAGAUGCUAAAUCAUCAUUAUAUGGAUCAGAAAAUGCGUUUCCAACCUCAAAGUCCACAGAACCAAUAGAUAAAGGAAAACUAUGGUCAGGAACAAGAUGCCCAGACAAAGAAUCUGAUCUAUCAAUUUCUGGGAUCAAGCCCAAAAUAUCAUCAUCUGGAGUAGAAGCAUCAGCUACAGCUUUGGAAUUGCUCGAAGCUAGAGAAUUAGCUGAAAUUGAGUGUCUAGGUGUCAUCUUGGGCAGAGUAGCACCCUCAUCAACAAGGAAUGAUGUUUCCAGGGACAAAUGAUAAGCUGCAAACACUGCAUACUGAACAACAUGUUUGAUCUUCUUCAGUUGUUCAACACACGCACCUUUCAGUAGGACCUAGAACAGAACAGAAAUUGAUAAGAGAUAACGAAGUUCAAAUUCCUUACGCUAUACCAGGCUAGCAGAUUAUGAGUAAAUUAUAAUAAAACAACUGAAGAUGCUCAAAUUAUAAAAGUAAAGAGAAAUGUUGUAUAGGAAUAUCAUUACCGUGCAACUAAGACGCCUUGGGCACCCUUCAAAAAACAUCAAGGUUUUCACUGGUUUCUUGUUGAACUGAUUAGUUGGCUCAUGCUGUUCAGAAAUUUUUUCCAACCGGAACAAUUCACAAUGUCCCAACCGGGACUUAGGGAUAUCAUCGAUUGAUGGAGUAAUAAGGGCCCCAGUGCACCGAGCUAUGCGCUCUAGUACUGGCCUUUUAACAUUCAGAACUAAUGAUAUUUCCUUUGCUAGCAGAUGUUCUUGAGCAUAUGAAGAUACACUUUUCUCUACCAGCAAAACAUUUGGACGAAGGGCCUCUAUCUUUGAGAUAAUCAUCCUAAGAUGAUCGUUUUCCUGUUCGAAAACAAUUUAUUUAGAACUUUUAUUUUGCAAUAUAUUACAUAAUCAGUUCUUGGAGAAAGACAUGGCUCAGUAGAAUAAAAAUAAAAUGUCAAGAAAAGAAACAAAACCUGAUGCAGUAACGUGUUAAAAGAGGCCAACUGGUUCGGAACUUUCUGAUAUUCAAGUGCUCCCCCUAAGAUAAGUAAUCUAGGAUUUUUGUACUGUGAGGUCAUGCGCUUGUGCUUUAUAUUCUUUGUACAAACCACUCCUUUUAUGAGGGUGCUGCAUAUUAAAAAACGAUCAGUCAAAGAUAUAAAUCGAUCUCGCCUUACACAAAAUCUACUAAUGGACAGGGACACUAUACCUCUCACUUGGACUUCCUGAUGGAAUACAUUUAAUUCUCACAUAAUCACCAGGAUCCAUACUCCCUCCUCGGCUAGUAUCUGGUUUAACAAAAUUUGCAGCUUGCCAUGCUAUUGUUGUUACUAUGUCAAGCCAGUCUUCAUCUCCAUCCUCUUUGCUCAUGAAACCCUCACCUUGUAAUAGCUGUGACACAAGCGCUCUAAAGUGCCCCUGAACCACAGCUCUAAGAGGUUCCUUGUUACCCUCAUUCUGCUUGUCCUUUGUAGGAAACAUGCUUGAAAAGCUACUACUGGAAGAAAACAUUGCACCUGAAUCUCCAAUAUCAUCAUCUUCAUCAUCAUAGGAAAAGAAAUUACUCUCUGCCUCAUCAUUCGCAUCAUCGGGAGGAGGGGGAUACCAGAUCCCAUUGUUUUCAAAAUCCAAUGGCUUCUCAUAUUGGCUGCGGAAAGCUGACAAGUCAUCAGAGCAAUCAUCAGUCAUAUCUGGAUCCUCAGUCCUUGUCUCAGGCCUUUUAAAAACAGCCUUAGUCUGUUGACCCAAGGGGCCAUCACUCUGAGUCACUGGGAUUUCUUGCUGCCUCUGCUGUACUGAAUGCCCUCUAUUAGAAGUGUAGUAAAUUCUAGAUGAGCAAUCAAACUGACUGGAUCCCAGAGACCUCACACUGUAAAACUCACUCCUAGCACUAACACUAUCUAUAUCCAAAUGGUCAUCACAAUAUUCACUUAAAGGGCUGCAAAAGUUCUUUGCCGAAUCUUCUGCCUCUUCUUCAUCACUCCUGCAAAGUAAACAUGGAAUUGAUGAGGAAACUUAAUUACCUCCAUAUCUUGGCAACACUUGAAAAUGAAAUAAAAAACUUUGAAUACUAAAGCAACAAAUCAAUCGAACAUAAUUCCAUAAAGCUUUAAGACUGUAUACAUACCUACUGUGAGAGCGACGAACAGCUACUGGAGAAGGGUAAGAACCCAAUGAAGGCAUACUCCUGACAGCACGGGGAGAACAGCCAAUAUCCGGUACUUCAAGAUACUUUGACAGAUGAUCAGUCACAGUGGAUUCAUCAUCUGCAGAACACUUGAUUGUUUCAUUGCUAAAACACGGGGAUGGUGGUUCAGGGCUUUCUCGAGGAGAAACAGAAGGGUGUACUUUCUCACUACACUUUCUUCCACCUUCCCUCCUUAAACUAACCAAAGAACAAAACUUGCAGAACUUGAUCGUCUCCUCUCCAACCCCAUCACUGCUCUUCAAACCAUCCCAUUCACCACCCUGAACACACUCCCCACAAAUCCACCUCCCACAGCUUUGGCAGUGAUAUCUAUGGCCAACACCACUGGUGUCCUUAUGGCAAUCACAACACAUCUUGCAACCGUUACUCGGCAUAUCCAAAGACCUCAAUUCAGUUCCUCCCCUAGUAAUCCAGCACCUAGCUUUCUCUAUUAGAUCUGGCAGGGAACGAUCAGGUAUUCCCAUAGAAAGAUAUUCCCAUAGAAUUGUAAAAAUCCAACACGAAUACGAACCAGCUCUGGAUCUUCCUCCUCUUUCCAGCUCUUCCUCGAAAACUAAAUUCCUUUUAUUUUUUUUUUCUGUCCUAAAUCUAAGUGUAUGAGACUAAAGCCCCCCACAACAAAAAUGGUGGGAUGUGUAUGGCUUUGAUUAUGAUUUUGUUUCCACUGUUUAACUGUCUAUCCUCUUUUUUCUUCGAAAAUUUGGAAAUCACAACAGAAUGAAAAGUCACAAACCAGUAUCGAAACAGCUAAAAUCGAAAGCACAAAAACUCUAUACACAGCAAAUUCAAUCAACCAUAUCACCACGUAUAACAGUAUCACCUCAGAAGCUGAGCUGAGCUGAACAACAGCACCACCUCAGAGACAGACUCACAAGCGAAAACUCACAGUAAAAGGAACCCUAACCAAUCCCGGAGUCUUCAAGAAUGCACCCGGCGACCGAUUGGAGCAUAUCACAGCGAUCUCAACCAGUCUCCCACAGAGCAUCAGAGACUACGCACCAAAACGACACCGUUUUGGAGGGGAACAGUAUUCUAAUUUGAGCUUGACGAAGAAGAAGAGUGUAGAAGAGAAAAAGGAAGAAGAUUAAAUGCUGGGAAGAAUGAGAAUCAAAAGCAAGAAAAGGAGGAGUACGGAGAAGGUUCCUUUUCUGCCGGAAUCAAAAUCAGCUCGCAUCUCGAGACACAACGCAUUUGCCUCUCUCUCACUCCUUCUUAUUCUUCCUCCUCCGCCGCCAACCACCGCAGCUCCGCCGCAGAUCAUCGUCGUCUGUCUUCUUCCUCUUCAAUUCAUUUUCAGCUCGCUUCUCUCUUCUCUCUCUUUCUUUCUUUUUCCGUUUCAAAUUAGUUUCUUCUGUCUUCUUACAACUGCUAGAAGUUGAAUAUAUUGCUUUUCAAAAAAGCACUUUCAUCUCUUUUCCCAUCUCUUUCAUUAUAAUAUCUUUUUUAUCUUUUCUUUUUUUUUUUUUUUUGGGUUCCAAUCUGGCAAUUAAGGCGGUCAUUGGUCAGCGUGCGAUGCUUAAUUAGGGCUUAAAGUCGUGAUUGAUUAAAUAGUUAGAUAAAAAUAAAUAAAUAAAUAAAGAGUUUUUCUUGUUUUUACAACUAACAGAAAAGUAGGGUGUUGAUUGGUCAGCAUCAGGGUACAGAAGGGAUGGGUUUUACGGAAACGUUUUUUUGGAAACUCAGUCAGCAUUUAUUGGAUUUUGUUGGAUUAUUAGAGGCAUGUUUUCGAGGAUUAAUUUCUUUUUUUUUGCUUGCGCGUGUGUUGACACGCUCUGUGUCAGCAUCUAGAACUAUCGUGGUGGCAUGGAAUGGGUUUGGUGGGUUGGUGGGUCAGGUUUCACGGGUUUUUCAUGACCCGAGAACCAUUCCUUGAUUCGUUUCUUUUGGUUUGACCCGGAGUAUUGGAUGUCCGAAUGGCCUGGUGUGAAUAAUGGAAAAUGAUGAAUUGUCAACCAGUCUAGUGGUAAAAGAUAUCUUACGAUUCAGGUAAUGGUUGAAUAGUUGUUUGUUUGAGUUACAAAUAAUCAUUUUAUGUUUUAUCGAUUCAUUUUUCACGUUCUAUUUGUUUGUUUAUUUAAUUUCGAUUUUCGUUCUGUAGAUCGCAAGUAUGUGAGAUUUUUAGUUUUUUGUCUUUUGAUAUUUAUAUUUUAAGCUAUCAAAUAAUAUCUCUUCAAACAUUUGAGAUAUGAAAUUGAUCAAACCAAAGAAGAAUUCAGACUCAAUGUAAGAGUAAUAGUUCAUAGCGAUAGAUUACGUUUAAGGAUGAAGAUUAUUUGGGGUGUAAGGGGAUCCAAAGUUUUGGACAAACCCCUAAUGCCGGACCCGGAAUGUUUAUGAGACAGAUGAGCAGGGGGAUGCACCAUGUUGCCAAUUGGCAUGUCCCCCCUUUGGCAAAAAUAUAAAGCAAGUAAAGGAGAAAGGAGAGGAGGAUUUGGUAAGCAUCAUAUUUGGUGGGAAGCCAACAUCGAUCUGCAAAAGCCUUACGUGCUUGUGCUCCUUUGCCUUCUCUAGUUCUCUACCGAAAGCUUGGGGGGUUUCUUUUUUCUUUUCUUUUCUAUUUGUAUUGUUCCUUUUCCUCUUGGCCUUUUGCUCUUGGCUACAUAGCUUUGCUUCAUAGUUUUAUUUUCUAUUUUCCAUUUUCCACAUGCUAUGAUCACCGCCCUUUAAAAUUUUUCUUCAUCAAAACCAAACAAACCUCCAUCACCACCCAAAAAGCUAACAUCAACAGUCACCAAAGAUAAGACUCGCAUAGGCAGAGCCGCCCCUACAUCUUCUUCUUCACCAUCUUCAUCAUCAUACCUGACUCAUCUCCAUGUGAAGUACAUACCUAUAAUUCUAAUGGUGGAAAGAAUACUAAUCCCUCUAUGCUUUGUCAAAUUAGGGAUACAGAUCAAGACCCUUAAAGAAUACAUAGCAUUUUCUCUGCCUAACAUAGAAAGCAGGCAAAAGCCUCAUGAAAACCCCACCCCAUCUCUCCCUUAGUAGAGUCAAUAUGCAUGCUACAAUGGAGAACUUUGAUUAUAUUUUAGGGCAUCCCACUAAACCCAAUUUGACCAAGUUUGGCGUGCAUAUAUUUUCCACGCAAGGUUCCUUAAACUUAAUAUAGGCGUGAUGUUAACAUGUCAUCACCCACCUCAUUAGCAACAAAAAUUAGACUCAAAGCUAAAAGUGUAACACCAAUACUAGCUAAGGUUGUAGGAAGAUGCAUUUACUAAAGUAAGGUAUCAUUUUAACAUUAUCCUUCAGAAAUCGAGUCUGGUUUUCAAAUGAUUCAUUCACUUGAAAUUUGAGGGUGGGUUUGUGUUUGUCUAUAACAUCAGAUGAAACUGACUAGGCAUGAAAAUCCACUAGCUUUAUAGAAUCGUGUUGCUUUCUCUAUCUUUAUUCUAACUAGUCGGUAAGGAUUUCAAUAGCAAAUAGAGAGGUUUUUUUUUUCUAUUAAGAUAACUUUUGAACAAAAACGUAUUAUGUGAAUGGUUAAGAUUAGCUAACGUCACUACAUAUGCAUAGUAGAUCUUAUAUAUGGGACGAAUAUGAUGGUUAAGAUUGCAUUGUGAAGUUAUACCAUAAUGUAUAUAAGAAUUCACGGAAUACAUACCGUUAAACUUACUGAGAACAUGUAGUUUGCUAACUAAAACUUUUCAUUUUUCAUGUUUUAAUAAAUCCGCGAAGGUUAUCCUUACAAAAAAUAUCUAUUCCACUUUACAUACAUCAUUUCCGAAGGGAAUUUUGACAUGGAACUGAAGGAUAAGGAUUAUGACUUGAACCAUAUUGCAUGGUGGUCCAAUAAGGAUUAAUAUAUCUGUUUCUGGCUUUUGGGUUAAUUUUCCUACAGAUUCCUGUCUCUUCCUCUCUACCGCCGAAUCAUAUUGUUUGGUUAACCUCUGCAUCAUAUGCAUUACUAUAAUCGUUGAACUUUGCUGCUUGAUGACAAAGAGCUAGUGUGGUUUUAGUUAUGAAUCUUGGACUGCUUUAGUAUUUGGAUAUAAAGUUGAUGUUAAGGCUUGGAUUAGUACAGGCUUUUUGGUUUUUAUAUAUUUCCAUGAAACUACUAAUCAGCAAAUGUAUUCUCAUGAAUAACAAUGUUUACUCAGAAGGUCCAUCAAAGGGUAUAUUAUAUUCCUUGGUUAACUAUUCAAUCCUGGUGAUGGAGAACCAUGAUUGUGAUUUUGGGAGAAAGAGACUCGGACCAAACCUUUCUUUUGGUGUUUUCUUCUUCCUUUGUCAAGAACAGGUCUGGGUUUUAUUUCAAUGUGAUGUGCACAUAUCUGUAACUAGUCAUUGUCUUGAUUUCCCAAUAGAGACUAACAGAUAGGAAGAGUAGUAUUCUGGGCAAUUGCAACUAAUUUUGGGCACUAUCAAAUUGCUAAAUUCUCCCUCAACCAAUAAGAAUAGAAUUGCUGGUAGGUCAGAUCUCAGUGCAGAAUUGAAUUAUAUGAAGCAAACUCAUUAAUCCGAAGUUUACUCUAGGAGGUUGUACAUAAUAAAUACUCGCCCAAUCAGAAUUAAUACUAGUAUCUAGAAUUCUAUAUAUCAAAUGAAGUACUGCUGGUUCUUUAAUAUUGCAGCUGCAAGUUCCACACCUUGUAACUAGGUAGCUUGACAAUCACAUAAUUCACAAGGGAAUGGGAAGGUAGUUGACUCCACCACAGUGCUGCCAUGGAUUUUUUAUUUUUUAUUUAUUUUUAAAUUUUUGGGUUCUUCUUGUUCAGAGGCAGAACUUGAGGAUGAUAUAGCAUUUGGAGGGCUGGAAAGGGUGGACAACCAUUUGAGUGAAACUGGGACUAGCAGGCUUAAGUUUUGUUCUUUCCCCAAACCAAUAUUCUUUUACUCAAAAUGAAGUGGGGAAGUAUGAAGCAUAUAUAACCUCCAUCCAGACUGUGAUUGACUAUUAGGUAUCCAUUAGGGUGUUGCACCAAGAGGUAAACCAUGCUUAGUUUUGACCACCCCAGUGAGCUAGUUGAUGAAAUUGAUCACUUCUGAAAUUUAUAUCUACCAGCAAAAUUGCAUGUUAAUGUGAAUCAGAACCAAGUUGGAAAUUGGGAUAUGGUGUCGGCUGUGAGGAGCAAUAAUGUUUAUUGUUGUUGGUGCUUGAAAACAACAAGCAUAGUGAAUGAGAAGAGAAUCUGGAAAAGCAAAGAUUACAGAAUGACUUCGCUUUUCUGUUACUGAUGUGUUUGGGGGAUUCAGGGAAACCAAAACCUGCUAUAUCAUCAGUUGGAUAGUAGCUGAAUUUUAAAACAUAGAGAGGGAGAUGUCAGGGGGAUAAACAGAUGAAGUGAUGAUAUAUGAAGCACCAACAACAUAAAAGCUGGGAUGAUGUAAUAUGUAUGGCAUGAAUUCUUGGUAUAGAGCUGUGGUUUGUUGGGAUAGAACAAGUUUAUUAUUUUUAAAUCAAUAAAAAUGAAUUGUAGAUGAAGGGUUCAUCAGUUCAUCUUAUCAUUUGCAAAAAUUCCAAAAAGUCACUGCAAAAUCUCAAAUAUUUUUAAUGAUUUUUCAGUGCAGAAGUCUUGGUUCAUCUUACAUGACCAUUAACCUGCCUCCCACAUUAAGAAUGACACCCCUUAAACAGUGCUUCAGUUUCAUAUGUCAAGUUGUUAAUUAGCUUAUUGACAAAAAAAAAAGUUGUUGAUUCUUGUGGAAAAUAAAACUUUAUCCUUGAUGAUAUAUACAAGAUAUAACCUACUAUAUAAUAGAAAAUGAAGCUUAUAAUAAAUCAAGUUGGAAUACUUUAGGUUUUUAAGAGGUUGUUCAAAUGGCAUGCUGAUCGUCCAAGGCAAGCUAAUAACAACAGAUUGAAACUUGAAUUUGUAAACGUUGAAUCUUAUUGGAUUCGAACAGAUUGGCAUAUGGUCAGUUCUCAUCAAGGCAAAACCUAGGAGACCGUUUCAGAACAUGAACUUUAAACAUUUUUGACUAGUAUACUAGCUGUAUCGAACAAUUUCAAAAUUAUUAGGCACCGCCUGGUACCACAGUGAAGGACCUGGACUAAAUAGAGCGAACAAAGAUGAUAGUUAAAUGUUCAUGCUCGUUUUGUACGCCUUCCAACUUGAAGAGCCAACUCGGUAUCAAUCUUGAGGGAGAUGUCCAGAGCUUUAACAGAAUGUGUCAGUGCACCACUGCAAACACACCAAAAGCACUUCACAGACCACACCAACAAUACUGUAAAAUAUUCUACCAGUAUAUUAUCCCCAGCAACCCUAUUGCACUGAGAUGUUCAAAGUGCACUCAUACACUUGCAGAUUCGAACUUGGAUAUCCACUAACACUAGUGCAUCUGCGGUCUCAUUUUGCAGCAAUAUCACAGCUAAAUGAUUUCCUCAAUCUCACAGUAGCAGGACAGCAUAUUAUACCCAAAAGGAAAAGGACAACAUUUGCUUAAAAGAAUUCCACAUGACAGAUUAAGCAUCAGUCAUGUUGAACUUCCAAAAUACCUGUGCUGCCCAUAUAGGUUACCAUGAUAAUAGUUAAUGGUUUGAGACUAAGAGGAGCUGUGUCAUUACCUAGAAAUGUAGUCCACUCCAGUUUGUCCAAUUUUAUGUACUGUUUCAAGAGUGACAUUUCCAGAUGCCUGUAGCAGUGGAAUAGAUAAGUCAGAAAUUAAAAGGGACAGGAAGUACAAAAUCAAUUUAAGCAAUUAGACCAUAAUUUCACAUUCUGAAAUAGCCUUGAGUAUUCUAUGGUAAUUCCUUAGUUUAGCCUAAGGGUGCAAGAGAGUUGUUUUCAAGCCAAAAACAAAAAAACAAAAAAAGAAAGAGUGAGAAGUGAGAACUGCUUAUCAUAGAUUUAAAGAAUGACGCUUCAAAAUAAGAGAGUGAUAUAAAAGAAAGAGGAAAGAGAUUAUAAGUUAGGUCUGUGGAUGAUGAUGAGGACUAAACAUCCAUAAUCAGUCCAGAGGAGGUGCAGACUAGGUGACAACUCUUGUUAUGUCUAUCAGAAAAAAAAGGGUGAUAACUCUAUCAGGAAAACCAUUAUUAAACUGUAUAACUAACUCUAGGCUACCUCUGUCUCAAAUCUCCGUUUAAUCAAAUUCACGGCUUGUUCAAGCAUGCUGACAUCAACAUCACCAUUUGAUAGUGGUACAACCAUAUUAUCCAACAUUAUCCGGGUCAAGGAAGUCUUUGUUCUAGAUGCAUAGUCCAACACUUGGUUUACUUCCUCAAUUGUCCGGGUCUCCACCUGGGAAUGAAACCAAAUUUUAAUAACCAUAGUCCCUAUGAAAACUGAUCCUACACAUGCCAUUGGUAAACAUUAAUGAAUGUAUCAGCGAUGGCAAAUAGACAGAGACCAUCUGAGAGAUAGCGAGCUAAACAUUCUGUUACUGAUUGCAUUAAAUUAUAGAACACAGAACGUGUAAGAACUUGGCAACAACUAGGAAUGUUGUAAACAGGAAUAUGGAAACAUUACCUCAACCUCCAUCUGAAGAUUCCUUUGCUGAAGAUAGAGGUCUACAGACUCGAGGGCAUUCGUUAUGCCUCCAGCUAUUGAUAUAUGAUUAUCUUUUAUCAUUACCAUAUCAAAUAAGCCCAUUCUGUGAUUUUUACCACCACCAAUGAGUACCUGCAACAGCAGUUUUAUACAAAGCUGAUAAAAAAUAAAAAAAUUGUAUGCCACUGGCAAGAAUGUAUGCGGUGUGUAUCUUGAUGUCUAAUAGGAGCAAAGGAAAGAUCUAUACCGCCCACUUGUCUACCAAACGUAAACCUGGAGCAGUUUUUCUCGUCUCUAAAAUACAUGCAGGGCUUGCAAGAUCUGCCAUUGCCUGCAGGAAACACAAGUCCCUCACACAUCCAACCAAAAUAAUGUUAAUACACAUAGUAUAACUUAAGUUCUCAAUUUUUCAUUUUUUAUUAUUGAUAAAUAGAUAAGGUAGUACAUGAUAACCAAAUUAAUGACAAUCGACAACCUAACAUGAAAGAACUGACAAUUUCUCUUUUCAAUUAUGUGUCAUGAUGUUCUAUUCCAGUAUAUAGAGGUAAGAUGGCAAUGUUCUGUUAGGGUAUCAGGGAUUAAACCUCUAUCAGGAUAUAGAAAGAAGUAAGCAGUUUCUUUACAGAAAAAAACUAUCCUAAAUCCUUUUAAUCAACAGAUACAGAGAAAUUUAUAACAGGGAAGUCAUACUCCACUCUGAAUACCAUGCCGGAGGCAUGGUAAAGUCCAGACCACUUUUUUCAUAAAGGAAGAGCUACAAUACGUAUUGGUCUGUGAUUCUUUUAAUGAAUAGAUAAAUUUGAUCAUGAAACUCUUCAGAGUUCUGAACCAUCCUGCAUAUUGAAAUAAAUGAGCACCCAUCUUUGUAGUGACAUUCCCUUGUUAUGUGUUCAACUUGUAGCUUUAAAUAGUAUCCUAGCUUUCGAUGUUGUUCCUUAGAAAAUAUAAAAAGGAAACAACUGUACCCUAGUUAAAGUUGCUACUCCACUCAUCCUCUGCAUAAAAUUCAGUACUACCCUCUCAGCUAUAACAAUGCUGUGUGCUCUUCCUGCAUAUGAAUCUGUAAGACUUCUUAAGAAAUUUUGAAAAGCUUCUAAAAAAUUUCUUCAGAACCUGAGUUACCAUAAACUUUGCCGAACUGUAAGCCUUUAUGUAUGGAGUCUCCAUCCUUUUGUGACCACUCAACCUGUAUCAACAUGUAAACCAAUCAUGCUAGGACACCAACAGCAAAAACAUUCAAGCACACAAAAUGCAGUGCUUCUGUACCUUCAGAGUGGGAUCAACUUCAUAAAAUACCAUCUCUGCAAGUGCAAUUCCGGCAACUAUACCAUUCUCCUUUGCCAAGAAGUGGGCUUCAACUUCCAUAUCAGGUGGAAUGGUAGCCAGACAUGUCACAUCGCCUACAAUUAAAGCAACAAUCUUGCUAUAAUAUGUUUUGAACAGUAAAACAAGUCUUGAACAUCUCAACUUUCAAGAAAACCAAAUUAGAUUUCAACCUCGAUCCCCAGCGUCUUCAGCAAGGGCUGACUUGAUGACACCCGCUAGAUCAUAAGUCGGAUGCGAAGGAGGCUUUAUCGGUAGGGAUUCAAAUGACAAACCGGGCCUUUCAGCUUGCGUUGCUGACAUUCUAAUAAUCUGCCUGCAAGGGUCCAAACAAAUCCACACACUCCAAAUCAACAGUCUAAUAUAGGGCUAUGCCACCAAUGAUCAAAAUAAGCACAAUUUCGGAACAAAAAACAUUACGGCAUUUGAACAUGUUUGAAUCUCUCAACUACAAUCCACUCCAUUAACUAAUCCCAAUCACAGAGUUUCUUCUAUGAUCACAUUAUGGCAAUAUUCUUAUGUACGUCACAACAUUAUCACCAUUAGCCAGAGUAGCAAUCACACUCAGGAAAAACUCGCCAAAAGCAUAUGCUAUUAAAUUAUCUAUCUUUACAAGGAACAAACACACACCAUACUGAACUGAAAUACACUGAUGCAAUUGGCAGAGCAUAACUAAUACACUCAACUGAAAUUGGGUACCUCAAAGUUGAUAACUUUAAGCAAAAUCUUCAGACUUUAAACAAGAAAGAACGCAAUUCCUCUUGAAUUACAGUAAAACUAAAGUGACCAUAAAAAAUUGAGUUGGAGGCUGGAGGGUGUUACCUGAUUGGAGAGCGCAGGCGGGAGGUGAAAGGAAGGCCGUAGAGAAUCCCAGUUGGCGGGUAAGCUCUGCACGACUUUUGCAGAGGGAAAGAUAAAGACGAAGAAGAAGAGGCGGCAAAGGCCAUAUCCAACCCAAUAAGAAGUUUCAGUUUAGUUCAGGGCUUUCACUUUCGGUCUCGGUACUAUCCAACUCCAACCCAACAGUGUCACAGUUCCCAACUUCCCACAUUUACCAUUUUUUUUUCUUUUUUUUUUUGUAAAAAAUCGUGUGCUAGUUCACAGUCCUGGUAAAAAUCAUGGUUUUGUGCUUUUUAAUUUUUUAUAUUUUGCAUGAAGCUUAUGGGAUUCACUUUGGUUAUUAUUUGACUAAUACAAUCACAUCCAACAUUAUAUGUGGCCGACCAAGUGUUUUGGUUGUUCGACUAAGAGAAAAGUAGCAAAUGUCAAAUGUUAUUGGAGUCUAGGUUGAUCUUAUGUUAGCAUGAAUUAUAACAUCACAUUACAAUGAUAUUGUUUAUAACGAACUUUAUGAAGUAUAGAAAUGGACUAAACAUACAAAUUGUUGUACUGUUCGAACGACUCUGGCUUUUUACUCUUCAAGUCCUCUCUAGUCUCUACUAUAGUUCAGGUCCUCUCUACUAUAGUUGGUGAAGUGAAGGCAGCCUGAUAUAUAAUAAACUCUUACACUGCAGACGUGGUUUAGAGAUGGUACCAACUUGUAUUGAACAUGGUAGUAGUAUCAAUUUAAAUCUCUCUAAUAUUGGUUCAUUUCCUUUUCAAGGGAUAUCGGUCUGAUUUCUCACACAUUUGUUUUGAGCACGUGAUGGAUUUUGAUUCAUUCAAAAUUGGAAUGCAUACAAAUAACAUGAUUUUAUAACGCAAAAAUCCAAAUAGUGACACUGAAUAUAGUCUAUGGACUAUAAUUAAGGCACCUGCUUCAUAGUUCAUAGUUUACAUCAGAUUACGUUUCAUUGUAUACCAACUAAGACUAGACCAGACCAUGAGGGCUAUGGAUAUGGCAAUAUGCACCGGUAGGAAUAGCAAACAUGAGAUGAGGCAAGCCGGCACCCCCGGCAACACCGCCGGAAGAUUAAUGCGCUGCCCUGUCCCCGCUUGCCUCUAGGCUUGUGCAGCACUCACCUAUAUAUGGCGCUCUUCUUCUGAGUUUGCUGUGAAGUGUGGACUGUACAUUUUAUUUAGUCAAAAACUCAGGACGCCGUUCAUACUCUUGUUAAUGUGGAGGAGCAUCUCUUUCAUUUUCCCAUUGUUUUUCUUUGAAUAAAAAGAUGUGUGGUGUUAGUGGCAGCGGUAGAGAAAAACCACCAAAGUACUUGAAAGCUGUUCAAUAUUUACGGUAUGUUUUCUAAAUUGGCUGGCUGCAUUAGCAUUGACAAUCAAUCAUUCACAGCAUUAGAAUUUUAAAACAACACACUGUGAUUAAAACAUUCAACAAAAAGAGGCAAUAGUCAUAUUGGUCUUUUAUAUUUAAUCUUAUAAGUCAGAAUUUCUAAUAGCCACAGUCCAAUACAUACGGCAUCCUAUUCAACCUACACUCAGCUCUCUCAAUCCCAGUCCACAAUCAUUGCCUAUAUAAAUAGAUUCUCUCCACUUUAAACCAAAAGCUCUUUAGUUUGCUAACUAAAAGUAGUUAGAACUUGGAUAUCACCAUGUCGUCGUCAUCAUCUCCAAAGAGAUUGUUAAUGGUUUCUGUUAUCUUUGUGCUUCUGCUUUUGGGAAUGGCUUCAGUUGGAAGUUGCAGCAGGCCUUUGAAGAAUUUGAAGGAAAAGGAAGUAGAAAGCUUGAUGAAGGCUAAGCUUCCCAGAGGGCCAGUGCCUCCUUCAGGACCUUCUUUCUGUCAUAACAAGCUCAGCCCCACCAAGAACACCCAGUCUUUUACUGAAGAUUAUAUCAUCUGCCCAUGAUAACCAUCAUGUACAUCAGUACAUAUACAAGAACUAGCUAGGAAAAACACUACUACUUCUCUCAGUAUGUUCAUUCCAUAUUUUUGUUGACCAUCAAAGGAAGAUAUAGAACUCAACCUUAGUUAUUUCUUCCUCAUUCUUUGUAAUGUCCUUUUUGGUCUCUAAGAGUCUGAACUGUCCAUAAUAUUAGAAUUCCAGAUAGAAUGUAAAGAGGAAUAACUUUCCAUUCCCAAGUAUAUUCUUGUUAACUCAUAACAAGCUUUUAUCAGUUUUAUGGUAAUGCUAGCUGAUAACUUAAGUUGCAGUCUCCUCUGGUAUUUGAGAAACCUGGCCAUCGAACAAGCUAAUUCCACCCUGGUCAUCGAUCUAAUACAAAAUCUACCAAUCAGCAGCAAAAGGUGGCAUCAGAUAUUAGACAAACUAAGCAAGAAGCGAAGCAUGCGUGCUUUACUAUAAGCAAGUUUAGAGAUCUAAAUUGCAGUAUUUAUAACAGAAGAAACGAAAAGAAAAGCAAAGAAUUAAAUUCAGUUUACCCCCAUGAGGUUUGGGAGUAACUUCAUGUUAAUUCCUAUACUUUCAAUUUCAUCAGUUUACCCCUCAAACUUUUGAAUUUUCCUCAAGCGUGACCAAAUGUCCUAUAUUCUGUCUAAAUCGAACGUUAAUUGCUGAUAAUUUUAACCUUAACUGUGAGGCCAGGAUCUAGAAUUUGGACAAAUCGGAUCUUAUAUGUCCAGAUCGGACCUUAACUGCUGAUAAUUAAAGGUCAAUUCAAACGGAAUAUGAGAAUUUGGGCACGGCAGACAGAAAUUGAAGAGUUCAAGGGGUAAACUGAUGAAAAUAAAAGUGUAGGGACUAACAUGAAGUUACCCCCAAACCACAAGGGGGUAAACUGAAUUUAAUUCAAAAGAAAAACUAGAGGAAGUUACCGAAAAACAAAGAACUAAUUUCAGUUUACCCCCAUCAACUUUAGGUCGAUCAUCAUGUUAGUCAUUCUUCUUUCAAUUUCAUCAAAAACACCCCUCAACUCCCAAUUUUCAUCAGCCGCGCAUGUCCAAACCUCCAAUCUUUAUCUAAUUCCUCUGUCAAGUGAUGAUUUGAUAUUAAAAAGAAAGCCAAAUUCUAAAAGUUACAUUUCGGACCAUUUUUCCCUCAUAUCAAUACACAUCUUCGUUCCCAUCACAACCCCCUAACCUUAGUAAUUUUGGUGGAAUUGAAUGCAAUUUGUCUAUUUUUCUUUUUUUCUUUUGUCUUGAUAUCAAGUCAUCACUUGACAGAGGAAUUAGAUAGAAAUUGGAGGUUUGGACAUGCGCGGCUGAUGAAAAUUAGGAGUUGAGAGGUGUUUUUGAUGAAAUUGAAAGAAUAAUGACUAACAUGAUAAUCGACCUAAGUUGAUGAGGGUAAACUGAAAUUAGUUAAAAAACAAAAGUACACUAUUGCUUCACCAAAUAUAUAAUGUAGAGACAAUUCGUAGAGGGAUAAUCAUCUGGGACAUAUCUAGACUACCUAAAAUUCAUCUCAGAAUUUUACAUGAAAUUGAGAUUGCACACAGAGCAACCAUAUGAUGCCACCAAAAUGCAGAUACUAAGAAAGAAAAAGUCAUACCAAAUGCCUAACUAGACUCAGACUUAUAUAUAGUACCCGUCUCAAUAGCUAGCUAAGCAAGUUUGGAACAAAGAGCCUGAUAGAAAUAUUGUCCCGUGACAUACCAAUUAACAACCUCAAUCCUCUUAAGUGCACUUGUUCCAGGAGUAAAGGCAGUCAAAACAAAAUCAUCUAGAGCAUAAGAUGUUAUAAUAAAUUUUUCCUUCUGUAAAUUUUAAUGGUAGUCCACAAAACUUUGGAAUAUCAAAUGCUUUUGUCCAAGACUUUAUAUCACCAUAUUCAAAGGAGAAGGACUGUCAGAGCGAAUUAGGGAGAGACAGCCUCCCAAAGUUCCCCAGCUCGUAAUAAGCAAAGGGUACCUGAAUCUCUCGGAAUCACUCACUUUCAAUGUCGAAUGCACCAAUCAAACAAGCUGUCUGUUGAAGAUGCCAAUGGAGGGAACCAUUAAGGGUGAGUUCCUCAGCUUAAUUAUGCUGCCUGAGUUUUGGUUUUCUUCUUCUUCUUCAUGGUUGGAUCAGGUGUUCUCAUAUGAUAUUAGGGUUUUCAAUCGACUCCCUGUACGUAAUUAAUUGGAUAUAUAUUACGGAAGUACAGUGAUUGAAUUUUAUGGGCUGGACUCCACUGUUGCCUACGGUGCAUUGCAUUUGUGAUCUUCACAAAUCACAAGUUCACAACCACAUUAGCAAACGAUAUCGCGCGCGCACACUCGGUUGUUAUCGAGACAUGUUUCCAAUGAGCAUAUAUAUAUACAGUUAGGAUCGAGAGUGAACGUCCGUGAAAAUGUUAAAUCCUUUCAUAGGUUCUUUCAUUUUCAUUGGGUCCCUCCACUCAUGUCUCCUCCUCACUCCUUUGUGUUGAAACCUAGGAAGAUGAAUCCUCUCUCUUGAAACCCAGAAAGAUGAACUCAGCUCUAGACCUCUACUUCCCUUUAAACUUCAUCCUUAUCAUUCUCUAUUCCCUCUAUAGUCAUAUACUUCCAUCGAAAAAAAAAAGAAAAAAAAAGAAGAAGUCAUAUACGAGUUCCCUUAAUCCUCCACCAUUCUCACAACUUCACAAGGCCAUCCCCUUCAACACUCUCAAACUACAUAUAUAUCCCUAAUCUUCAGCGCUUCUAAAAUCCAAUAGAACAUUCAACUAACAAAUACCAUAAGCAAACCCACAAUAUUAAUUAUCCAUCAAAUAGAUAGAUUUCCACAAAUUCACUCAAAUUCCAGUUAGUCAAACUCAAUCGGAGAGCGAAUAUUAAUUAAUCCAAGCUGAAAGACUGAGAUCGAAUUUGACACAAUCACACAGAGGCAAUCGGGGAAAAGAUUUGGGGAUAAGCAUAGGAAAAGCCGGUGAGAGAAGAGGGAGGAAGUAUAUGAAAGGAGCAGUCGAAAGCUCCGUAGUUUGAUGUAGAGGAGUGAGGAGGAGAUGUGAGUGGAGGGACCCAAUGAAAAUGAAAGAACCUAUGAAAAGAUGACACGUUUCUGUCCGCAAUUUAACAUUUUCACGGACGUUCGCUCUCGAUCCUAACUGUAUAUAGAUAUACAAAAUAUUUGUCUUAAUCAAUUUGCUUAAAUAUGUGAUCUAAACCCAUGCCACUAAACUAGUUUUGGAGCGUUUAAAAUUGACACUUGAAGUCUCCUUAGAUUAUUCCUGGAUCUGCAAUCGCUUGUUCUUCUGUCUUUCUCCAACUAUGAAUAUAUGCUCACAACUAUAAGAGCGCUGAAGUUGAAAGCCAUCCAGUCCUGACCAGGAAAGUUUAACCCUAUGUUAAAUAACUUAAACCCUUUAUUCCAUCAACAGCUCCGUUGUAGUCUAGUUGGUCAGGAUAUUCGGCUCUCACCCGAAAGACCCGGGUUCAAGUCCCGGCAACGGAAAUCCUCUUUUCGUUUUUUUUUUUAAUUUCGGAAUUUUUCUUUUUUCCAAAUUAAGCAAACCGAAAGUUCAAAUGCUCAAGUUUUUUUUUAAUUUCGGAAUUUUUCUUUUUUCCAAAUUAAGCAAACCGAAAGCUCAAAUGCUCAAGUGGACCCUUCAUCAUGGAGUUCAUGACUACAACAUUGGUGGCCAUAGUUCAAUGGAUCCUAAGUAAUGGGGAUGAGUGUCUGUAUCAUACAAACUUACAAAGAGAUGUUGAAUUGUUGAUGGCAUGGGUACCUACCGUUGCCUGUCGGUGUGUUCAGUUUGUAGUUUAUAACCUGUUUUCCUUUUUUUCUUUAGCUAAAUCUGGUUAUAGUUCCUCACCCACUCCUUUGUUUCAUUUCCAUACUUAAACAACUAAUGGUUUUUUGUUUUCACUUUCUACUUCUUGAUGAGUGGAGAUUAACAGGAAAAGAGUUACAUGAUCGAUCAAGAAGAAGAAAGAGAGAUCUGAGAAGGACAAGAGGGCAUAUAUAGCUAGUUUCAUGCAGCUCAUGCAUGUGUUAAUGAAACUGUAAACAAAGUACGAGCUAUCCCAGUACUACCGUAUGUAUGUACGUGUAUGAAAGAUAGUAGAUAUAUAAACGUAUGUAUACAUAUUGCAAGUUCUUUGGGAUAUAAAAGCAUGUUUUUGACAUGUAUACUGACGGUUCUGAUCGAUAGAUUUCGAAGGACCAGCCAGUUUAUUAGCUUUCUGGCCGGAGAUGUAGACCCAACAAACACCAAGAAGAAAGGAGUUAGUUAAUGACUAAUAAUGUAGUUGGUAGGGUUGUGUUCAUGAGGGGGGUUGGUACGUACUACAGUUUCAACCCCGAAAUCCAGCGAUAUAUACUAAUAUCAGAAGUCUCUAGUCCCUCUUAAAAAAUAAGAUCAGAAGAUCGACCAGAACGAUGCAUUUUGUCAAUUUGUGGACACCUAAAUGCAGUUUACUUUCUAAUCACGCAUAUAUUAAUCUAAUCUAACCUUGAUCGAUGUUCUGGGUAUGAUCGAUCAUAGAGUCAUAAUACAGAAUCUGAACUCUGAAGCGUACAUUCAGGUGAUGGAUCUGUUAUUGUUUAUGUUUUAACAUUUCUAAACAUAGUACGUGGGGAAUUGGAUCGAUCUCUUAUCCAUCCCGGCCAUCGGGAAUUGUCUUAUACAUAUAAGAUUGAAAUCAGUCUAGCUACAACAGUAAGUAUCGACAGUCAGACACAAAAAUCUACCUGCUUGCUUCUGACUGAUUAAUGCUUCAGUAUGUCCAACAAGCUAGGAUGGAGGUAUAUUCAGUAGUACGUGGAAUACUCUAAUUCGAAGGGGACUUUAGGAAUGCAGCAAAGUAGGAUCGCUUGUAUAACCCGGGUUUAUAUCUCCGAUCUCUCGGUGAAUAACCACCGGAAAGUCAAUCACUAUUCUUUAACAUUUUCAAAAGAGCGUUCUACUAGUAGCUAGCUAGCAUAAAAUAUGAAAAGGCCAGGAUCUAUCAUCUAUGCAUCAAGCAGAUUCAAGAACCUUAUGCACUGCAACAAGAUAAUGACUAUCUAUCGACAAUCGGAGAUCAACUUUGUCCUUGGUGAUAUUUAAGCAAAUCAAAUUAUCAAGUUCAAUGUUCAAUGUCCAAUAUCUAUAUCUUAGUUGUCAUUUCAUCACACAUAUGAUGCACCACUAUUGUAUUCGUUUCCUCUCUAAUAUAUAUGUGUGUGUGUGUAUACAUGUAUAUAAACAAAUCGUAUUUGAUCUAUUGUCAUGGAUCAAAAAAGUUGAGCUACGUACUAUGGAUGUCAAUGUUUUUCCAAUGAAACUAGAAAACACAGUAUGUAUGUUUUGAACGUAACCAUUGAUAAGAUGCUUUAAAAACCGACCGGACUAAUUGUUCUCAAACUCUAAAUCUGAAGAGACAUAAUAUGUGACAACCAUUGACUAUAGUUGUCCUAUAGUUCUGGACUUGUUAUGAUUUGUGUGGCUAGAAUAUAUUCACGUCGAAAACUACUUCUCUUUUACACAACUUUGAUUUACAUUGAGCUACACCAUUUAAUUAGUGACCAUCGAAUUUCGUGAAAAAAAAACCCUAGCCUUCAUAAUUUAGAACAAGGGCCGAGAACUGACUUGUCAUAGUGUAGAUCAGUGUCACUUACAGAUGAUAAUUCGUUCACCUUCGUACUGAAUCUUCCACCAAGUAAUUAUGAAAAGUCGAAAAUGAUUGACAUGUAUGUGCUUGUUGGUGAAAGUACAAACAGAUUCACAGAUAGAUCAAUCUGGAAAGCAAGGUACGUAGCUCAAACCACAAUGUCUCCCGGCCACUAAAAAAAUGAAGAACCGAGAGAGGUCAGGGAGAGAGAGACAAAGAGAGCGAGAAUAAGGAAUUAGAGAUGGUAGAUACGAAGUGGAAUCAUCUAUCACACUCCUCGUUUGAUUUGCCUCUAUCAGCAUUUCAGAACCACACGAGCGCAGCUAACCUCAUUUCUCUCUUCUCUCCCUCUGCCCUAAUUUCAAACCCUUAAUUACUUGUACCACAUCCCAUUUCCCAGUUCUGUAGUACUCGUCAACUCUCUCUAUCCUAUCUCAUCUACUCUCUCUCCAUCUGUUGGCUGUUGCUUAACUACGUAAUCCUAGCCUCAUCUCCAUGCGUGGAUUCAUUACUCUAUGAGGAAGCCUGUGAUGACCAGCCGAUCACAGAUGACGACCAAACCAUCAAAAAACGGAAAAUAUAAAAAAAAAACAAAGAAAGUUAAAUAUGGAAAUGUAAAAGUCAGAAAACAAAGAAAGAAAAUAUCAGAGAGAGAGAGGUUGUUAGGGAUACUGAAAUACACAUGCACCCGUGAGUCAAUGCUCCUUCGCACGUGUCAAGUAAAUAUUUCUGUAUUUCCCAAGCUCGAAAGCUGCUUCAACGGCCCCUGGUUCAGAUUGACAUUUGUUUUCUAUCCUCAUAUUUGUUUCUAUAAAUUUAGGCUGAUCGAGUUGAUUAAAUACACAAUCAGCUUGCUCUCCAUGAACAUGGAGCUGAUUACAGUCUCUCUCUCUGCCCAGAAGGGACAUGUUUGAGGUAGUUACAAUUCUUUGAUUCCAACCUUGUUAACUCAUCUUCUCUGCUAGAUUUGUUUAGUUACCUAUAUAUAAUAAGUCUGAACUAUUCUGAUCAGCCUUUUAUGAUUUACCUGCUUUCAGAUUGAUCGAUAUAAGAAGGUGCUUUAAUACCAGAUAGAGUUUAUGUAUAUGGGGUGAGUAGAUUCCAUGCUAUGCUUGUCAUGCGAGCAGUCCUCUCUUGGGUUAACCUUGCUUUCGUUGUCUGUUCGACCUUGAACACUAUUUAAUUGCAUAGAAACCCUAGCAAUUCAUUUACAAUUGGAUAAGAUUACAAAGAAAAUUUUUCAGAAAAAUUCACUCAAAAAUUAAUGAACAAAACGAUCACUCAUUUUCUUUUCUUUUUUGAUGAAUUAACCAGAUUUUGUGUAUGCGUGUGAGUUUAUAUGUUUAAUUGAGUCCCUUCAGAAUUUCAUGUCAAGUAAGGUGACUAAGGUCAUCCAUGAAAUUCCUGUGAUAUAAUUUCUGUUUGCAUGUAAACAUAUGUUUGCAUGAAAAAGCAUGUAAACAUAUAUAUGUUUGUGCUAUGUAUGUUAAUUUAUAUGUACUUUGAGUGUUGUUUGUUAGGCAUAAACGUACGGUAGAUGUGUAGACAGAUACAACCUUCUAGUCUAGAGCUCUGAUGUGAAUUUCAGGUGUACUGAGAAUUCGCAAGGGGAAGACAUUUUGAUUUGUUGGAUAGAGUAUUAGAGUAGUGCUGACAUAAUAAAGAGAGAAUCUCCAUUCAACUUAAUUAAGAUUCCAGGGUUUAACAGCUUAAUCAGUACGUUUUAACAGCUUAAGAGAGAAUCUCCAUUCAACUUAAUCAGUUUUAACAGCUUCCCUGAUUAGCAUAGGAGUCCCAAACCAUCAUUAUAAUACAAAACAGAAAGGAAAUUAAUACAAAAUACAAAAUCUAACUUGAUGAUCGAUUAUAAAUCUAAUUUCCUGUAAUGUUUCAGUGCCUAGCUUCUGUAAUGUUCUUACUGUAAAUAAGAAACGGAAAGUUCUUAGCGUCAUAAUGCAUGUUUGUUCUUAAGUUUUUAUCUAUUUUCUAAUAAUGUUCUUUAGUUCUUAAGGCACGUACAAUAUAAUCAAAUCACCUAAUGUACUCCCAGUAUGCACUUAAUUAUACGGGUCUGUCCUUUUGUUUUCUUUUAUUCACAUGCAUCUACGUACGAUAUAAUCUCUGUGGUCUAAAUUGCAUUCACAUGGCCUAAGCUGAGCUAGGUUCCAAUGAUCCCAGCUCAUCAAUUAAAAUCAUGAAUAUACCAUGAAAGUGGGAGCUAGCUAACUAAGGAUACACAUACGUAUAUGUAUAUACGUGUGUCUGUGUAAGCUGAGGUAUAACCGUAUAAAACGAAGUAAUUAGAAUGUAUGUUAAUCCAUCGAGUUCAAGGUUGAUCUGGCAAUGAAUGUGAGGUAUAUGCAAGGGACUGUUCACUCGACAAGGGUUUGCAUGGAAUUUGACACCCCGUGCCUUCGAUCAAUUAGUACUCUACUACUACUACCAGCGCGGUCACCUGUUUUAUAAUCCAUACCCUACAAUAUAUAUAUGUUCCAGAUUGAGGUAUUCCGGAGCUCUCUCUCUCUCUCUCUCAAAACAGGUCAAUAGUUUUUGCACAUCUUCUUUGUUCUUGUUGUAAAUCUUCACACUAUAGUUGUCUCUUGAGACCGUUACGAAUCAUAUAUAGUUAUCGGUCUUAUACUCUUACAUAUAUAUAUAUAUAUAUAUAUAUAUAUAUUUAUACUCCAUGAGUGCUUGUUUAUGUUCUUUCUGUUCAUAUUCAUCAGUUAUUCUUAAUCCAGCCACUGUUAAUGCAUACAUUAAUUAGCAGAUAGCUAGUUUGUCUGUUCUAGAACAUACAUCUGUACUUGUUUGUUACUUUGUUUGUAGUCACUAAUGUCUCUUAUAUAGGAAAAUAGACCAAACGGCAAAUUAAGUAAGAGAUACCAAAUGGCUACUGGUAACAACAGAGUUGAUCUCCAUGCAUGCAUGUCUGGCAUGAAAUACAAGAAAUCUGGAGGUUUCCUGCAGCCUGCACAAGUUUUCCUUCAAAUGCAAGUAACGAUGAAACUAUUCAAUGCCCGGAUGAAGCUAGUAUGCGGAUUUAGAAGAGUAAUUGUGAAACAAAUCAAGUCAGAAAGUUCCCAGCAGAGAGCUAAGUAAAUUGGGUGUAUACAGUAGCUGCUACAAUUGCGUCUCCGAAUCCUUUCUAUCACGAUGACUCUUUGUUCAGAAGGACGUACAGAUUCCACGCAUAUAAUGGAUAAUGUAAACAAAAAUACAACAUAUAUACCGUAAGUAUCGAUCAGCUGUAGGAUUUAUAAUUUUUCUUAAUAUUCAAUGCAUGAAUCCCAGCAGCCAAAACAAAAACAAAAACAAAAACUUUCCAACAUACAUAGGAUUUGUUCUAGUAUCAUACUAUCAUAUAUAUGGAGGUGGCGCACAACUCAGCUAGGUUUACAACAUAUUAAAAUAACAUAAUUAAAGCCCAACGUAGGAUCGAUGAAGACAAUUAUAAGAGUCACUAGUCACUAGGGUAAUGUAUCCCAAGUAUUCAAUUAUAAUCCAGAAGUAGACAUGGGCAUGGGUCCAUCAUGUUAAAGAUUGAUACAAGAACCCCGUUGGAGAAUGAUCGAUCUUAAUGUAACAGUAAAUUCUGAAUUGAUCGAAUUAUGAGCAAUCAAUAAUCUAGCUAGCUGUGAUGAUAAUAAUAUUUACCAAUUAGUCAAUGAUUGUCACGUACGUGUAAGAACAACUUGAACAACUUGAGAAGGAAUGAAAGCUCUUUUGCUUCUUAUCUCUUUUAAAUUACAUUAUAACCCUAACCUAAAACUCAUUAUAUAUAGAAGACAGAGCAUAGAUCCCUUUGCACCAAACUAGCUACGCCGGCCUCUUGCUCUCUAAGACCAGGUUCUUUCCUCUUCAAUUAAUCGCUACUUCCUUCGUGGCUGUUAUCAUGUUUGUCCUUCAAUUAUAUAUGUGUAUGUCUUUGAUUUUAUCUCUUUCAGAUUGAUUAUAAUUGUCUGGAAGUCCCAGCCGGGAAGAAGAAGAAGCAGAAGAAGAAGAAGAAUCCAGGACAGAACAAGCCUCAGUUAUGAUCAUAUUGUGGAAGUUUUCACGCGAUCAUAGAAACGAAAGAAUAUAUAUAUAUAUAUAUAUAUAUAUAUAUAUAUAUAUAGCAGGAACGACGAAUACAAGACCGGGUGAGUGGAUUCCAUGCUAUGCUUGUCAAGUGAGCAGUCCUUUUGCAAAUUAGUCUUAGUUUCGUUGUCUGUUCGACCUGAAUUAUGCCUCUAUAUAUAGGUCAGGUACUAAGACAGUAAGACUAGUUAGAUUCCUCAGAAACCCUAAUUUUAGAUCGAAGUCAUGUGGUAAAUACUAGAUCAGCUUCAAGAGUACGCAUGCCGGAUCAAAGUUAUAAUUCCCGAUUAAUUUUAGGUAAGUUUUCUAGGUUUUUAAUACUCGAUUAAGACAGAUGCAUCUUGAAGCAAAGUCUGUUUGUUCUGACCAAACAUUGGUGGUGACAGGCUUUUCUUCGUGCGAUUGCAAUUUAUUAGGAAUCUACCUGCAGCCAGCAUAUAUUAGAUCCAUUAGACAGAAGUAGUUGGCCAGUAAAAGUAGGAAGACAAGAACAAAAUUGAGAAAGGAAGCAAGAUGCGGGGUUCCCGGUUCUUUAAUUUGAGUUCUCCAAAACCCUAAGAAAGCCAGAGCUAAGCCUUUUUUUUUUUUUUUGCAACUUCUUUUGCCUCCUUCUGCAGAUUAAGGUUUAAGUUUAUGUUCUUGUCUCUUGGUUCAUUGCAGUGCGUACAGUUAAUGGCUAUUUACUUAGAAUUAGUAAUACAUACACACCAUAAGAUAUAUAUAAUUGAAGCCUUGAAGGCGACCUUCCCCGAGAAUGAGGCAAUUGAGGGCCAAGUUCCUCGAUGACGUACACCUUGCAGCUAAUUAAACUAGCCAGAUAUUAUUUUGUCAAUUAAAUCGUACAUGUUUGGUCAGAUAUUCAGUAUACAGAUACGUACAUAUACAUUCAGGUCUAUAGAAUGUUAAUAGUUUAGGUCGAAGAGACAUCGAAUCUGGGGUAUAAGCAGAGAGACUGUUCAUUUGACAAGGGUUUGCAUGGAAUUCAACAUCCAAUUAAUAUUACUUGAUCGAGUUCUCUGCCUCAUUUCUUCCGACUUCGAUUCAGAGUCCUUGAUCUCAUCCAAAGUUGCCUGAUUACUGAAGCCGUGCAUCGCAAAUAAGGUAAAACUGUCACCAGCCUAUCUCCUACUCUAUAUAUAUAUAUGAUAUGCAUAUGUUUCCUGCAGCACCUGCUGUGACAAUUGUAGGAAGCGGGAGCACCUGGAAUUUCACCAUAGCUGAGGUCGAUAUAUAUGGCGGGCAGCCGGGCACACACGAACAAGAGCUACGUAGUUCUCGAUCUCUAGGCUAACAAAUACAAUUUGUGUAGUGGUCACACAAACUAAAUGUUUGAUAUGAAGUCGCUCUUCUCAGAAGUGGUCUGCUCCAAAUAGGUGGUGUAUUACAGAUUAAAUGAAGAGCAGAAGAGGAGACCGGCCUCCUAUGUAUGAUAUAUAGACGACGUCUUUCUCCACCCUGGUGCAGCAUCCCACAACUCCACAAGUCCACCAAAGAGCUAGAAACUAACUCAUCAUGCCCUAGAUCAUGCAUGAAGGAUUAGUUCCAAAACAAGGACACUUAAAAUUUGAGCAUGAAUAGAUCUAUCAUCAAUUUCUAGUUUGCCUACAAUCCAUCAUGGACUGUUCCAAUUCUUCUUCUGAAUACUCAUACAAAGAAUAUUUCUAGAGAGAGAGGCUACUUUUUUUUUUUGUCGGAUGCAUUGCUUUGCAGUAAAUGAAAAUCGAAUAACUUCAGUUCUUCUGAAUACGCAUAAAAAGAAUAAUUUUUCUUUUAUGGGCCAAUUACAUAUAAGUCCACUUUGAGACAUUUUUUUCUACAUAGAUCCACCCCAACAUUUUUACCCACAUAAGUCCACCCAAGUCUAAAUAAGGUUUUGUAUUAAGUAUUGAAGUUCAACAUAAUUACAGACUGCCAUCCAACAAAAAAAAUUAGAUUUUCUCAUUUAUAUUUAUAAGAAUGUCAUUAGUAUAAAAAGUCAACAACCACUCUUAUUUCGGAACAGUCUCCGGCGGACCUCCGGCGAGAUUUCCAGCGGACCUCCGGCGAGGUUUCCGGCCGACCUUCGGCGAGGUUUCCGGCGAAGUUUCCGGCCGACCUCCGGCGAGAUUUCCGACCGACCUCUGGCGAGGUUUCCGGCCGACCUCCAACGAUGACAAAAAUUACUACUACCAGCUAAAAAAGCUACUACCACCAACUACAAAAGCUACUACCACCGUCUACAAAAGCUACUACUGUGAGGUUUCUGAUGAAAACAAAAGCUACUACCACCAGCGACAAAAGCUACUACCACCAGCUACAAAAGCUACUACCACCGCCUACAAAAGCUACUACUGUGAGGUUUUCGACGAACACAAAAAACUACUACCACCAACGACAAAAGCUACUACCACCAGCUACAAAGCCAUUACCACCGCUUACAAAAGCUACUACUGUGAGGAUCCCGAGGAACACAAAAACUACUAUCACCAACCACAAAAGCCUACUACCCACUAGCUACAAAAGCUACUACCACCGCCUACAAAAGUUACUACUGUGAGGUUUCCNNNNNNNNNNNNNNNNNNNNAGAGAGAGAGAGAGAUAUCAACAGGGAAUUGGUAGAGCCGUUUUUUUUUUGUAGGGAGUGAUUGGGAGGGUAUUUUUAGUAUGAAAUGAAAGUAAGAUGACGAAUCUGACCUUUAAAGUGGACUUAUAUGGGUAAAAAAAUUAAGGUGGACUUAUGAAGGAACAAAUGUUAGAAAGUAGACUUUUAUGAAAUUUUCUAUUCUUUUAUUUGUCGGAUGUAUUGCUUUGCAUCUUUAUAGUGCUAUUUCGAAUCAAAUAUUUGCAAUAAAUGAAAAUCUAACUUCAGUGCUUUUGAAUACGCAUAAAAUGAAUAUUUCUAGAGAGAGGCUCCUCCUUCUCUCUAGAAAUCUUCUUCUAUAUCUGCCGGUUUAAGAGUCCAUCCCCAUUCCCAUCCUACCCACUCCACCCACCACCCCUUCCCCGAUCACCUUUACCUUCAUCCCCACCUUCACCCAACCUCAUGGAUCGACCAGAUCCCCUUUUCACCAUCUACCAACUCCAUCUCCUUCCCUUCAUGAGAUUUACAGAGAUGGAAUGAUCUCUGUCCAUCUCCACUCCUACCCCUUCUCCAUCCCAUGUCUCCUUCUUCUCCACAAACCAAACUAGCUCCACCAUUGGAGGGUUUCAUCUACGACGAGUUCCAUAUCCACUCUUUUCUCCACCACUAAGCAAGCUUUCGCCCGUUGGCGAAUUCUUGUCCAAUCUAAAGAGGUUGUUCAGAUUGCUUUGACAAUCACUGUCUCUAUGGUUACUUGUGAGUCAUGAGUGUGCGUGUGUUCCAUCCGGCGGAGAAGGUGGUGCGAUGUGGUUUUACGGUGGUUGUUAUCAUUCAUGAAUUUGAUCGAUUUUGGCAGUGGGAUAUUGCGGUAGCAGAUCUCACUGUGGAAGUUUGUUUGGAGUUUAGGGUUUCUAAUUUUUAGUUAGGCUUUGCUUUGUAUCUGGGUUAGACCUAAUGUGGACUUUUAUUAUGUAUGUUGGGUUUGUGUGUCUUAUCUGUUGAGCCUAUGUGCCUCUUUUGCUGGGGCCUAUGUGCCUCUUACUCUAAGGCCUCUAUGUGUCUCUUUGUGAUCUUUUAAUAGAAUUUUCUAUUAUGACACACACAAAAUUAAAAAAUUAAAAAAAUCUUUUUCUUCCUUUUUCCAGCAAUUAAUACAAUAGGGAAACGAAAACAAACAAAUGUACUCCAAUAUUUUGCUCAUCUGAAAUCCUAGCUUUAUCUAAUCAUUUUUUUAGUAGUAUAUAUAUAACAGCCGUAUAUUAAACCUCGAUCGAUGCAAAAAUCAGAAAAACAUGUAUAGAUUCUAGAAUCACAAGCAACCUCAUCAGAGAAACAACAUAAUACAAUUUGAUAAUCGGGAUUAUUAUUGUUUUAAGUGUUUCUUUAAGAAUUAUCUUUGUGAAAAAUCAAGUAUACAUGUCAAACUCGGCUAACAAAUACACUUUGAGUAGUGGUCACACUCUAAGUUUUUGUUUUUUAGUAAUUUAAAAUUUAUCUUCAAUAAACUUAUAAGAAUUUAAACUAAAAAGAAAGAGAGAGAAAAGAAUGGGUGUGAAUUGUGAAUUAGAGAGCGUGUAUUUCAUUCUAUUUCGUUUAUGAUUGAUGGCAUACGUUCUACCAUGUUCUGUCACCUAACAGACUGCUACAGAGGAGCUGAUAUCGCCUAAUAUCCUUGUCAGUAAAUUAUAAAAAAAAUAAAAAGGUUUACAACCUAUAAAUUAUUUUACAAAAGUCGACCUAAAAGUUUAACCUAAAAUAUGAAUAGUGUUCUAUCAAGUAUCUAAUUUCAGCGUGUGUAAGAAGACCGACCUCAAGUGAUGUUUAUAUUUCCUCGGUAGAUAAGGUCGACUUCCCUCCUCUACCAAUGAAAGCUUUUCACAAUCAAGUUUUUCUAUAAAUUCACUCUCAAUCGAAAUCAAAGAUAAAACAGUCAAUAUUGUUUGGGUCAUGGUAUCUAGUCCCAACCACAUAUCUUCUCAAUUGAAUUAGUCACCAUUACGCUCACAUGCAUGAUUGGAGUAAUGACAAAUAUGGUGAUGGUUGUGUUCUUUAACCAUUUAGUGAUAUUCACAUCAAUCACAGACUUUGAAACUAUUGCAGUAUUGACAAAGAAUGAAAGAGGGAACUGGCGGGACGCCAGGAGAUGGGGAGUAUGAGUGAAAGAAUGUGUGGUCACCGCAGACUGUGUUGUUGCAUCCCAGUGGAAUCCCUAUAAAGUUUGUGUGUGUAAGUAAUGGCAAUUCAAAUGAAGAUAUUAUUGAUUAAGGACAUAUAUAUUAUAGAUAGAACACUCACCAUCAUUUUCUCCUCAUAUCCUAAUAUAACAAGUUUAUAUAUUUCUUCGCAACGAUUUCAAGUUCUGCCUCCCUCAUGACUAUCUUAUAUUCGACCUUACUUUUGAAUGCUUUCGCGACAUAAGGAUCAUUCUCCUUCACUAUCACAUCACAUCAAUCAAUAUUAAUAUAAAGAAUUAAAUUCAGUUUACCCCAUGAAGUUUGAGAGUAACUUCAUGUUAAUCCCUAUACUUUCAAUUUCAUCAGUUUACCCCUCAACUUUUGAAUUUUCCUCAAACGUGACCAAAUGUUCUAUAUUCUGUCCAAAUCGGACGUUAACUGCUGAUAAUUUUAACCUUAACUGUGAGGCCAGUAUCUAGAAUUUGGGCAAAUCGGACCUUAUAUGUCCAAAUCGAACCUUAACUGCUGAUAUUUAAAGGUCAAUUCAAACGGAAUAUGAGAAUUUGGGCACGGCAGACAGAAAUUGAAGAGUUCAAGGGGUAAACUGAUGAAAAUAAAAGUGUAGGGACUAACAUGAAGUCACCCCCAAACCAUAAGGGGGUAAACUGAAUUUAAUUCUAAUAUAAAUAAAUAGAGUUUGGAUUAGUCAAAUUGCAUAGUACAAGAACACAAAAAACUUUAUUUUUUCUAUAAAAAAUGUUUAUCACAUAACUCACUAACUCACUAGUUCAAUCUCAUCAUUGGUGUUGGAAAAAACUACAUAAACACAAAAACAAAAAUCAAAUGAAGAAACGAAGUUUUCUACCCCACACCUAAAUCCAACAUUGUCCUCAAUGAAACAUUUAAGCAUGGAUGAAGUAAACUAAAUAAAACAAUUACUAGAACAAAAUAAGUAAACACAAACAUAAUCACAAAAACAAGAACACAAACUAAAUGCAAGAGUUAGAAAAUCUCCCCCUUGAACAUAAUGCUCUCCACAUCACCAACAAUCAAGACAUCAAAGCAUUUCAAUUCAAACUUACAAACUUUGGUGUUGCUUCAAAAAUGACUUCCUUUCUUCUUCACCUCUUAUUCAAAUAUGUUUUAUUUAUGCUUGGCUACCUCUAAAUAAGGCUUUAUUUUUAAUGACUUCUAAUCGGUACUUAGAAGUUAUCACCACUUGCUAAGGAAGAUACUUCUUCUUCUUUUGCAAGACCACCGUACUAUAUAUUUAGAGCUAAAAGACUUCUUGAAGUGUCAUAAAGGGUAGGGAAAUGAUGGCAUAUGCUAGAGUAAAUGAUGCUUAAAGCAUGGUGAUGAAGCCUACUAACAUAGCAUGUUUUUGUUGGAGAUUAUGAAGGACUAAUGGGCAAAAGGAUCAAUGAGCAUGGUGUGGAAAAAAAAUGGAAAUUGAUGGAGUUGUUUUUGAACCAAAAUGUUUGGGAUUUGGUUAUAAUGGAAUGAUGGUGAAUGAAUUAAUAAAAUGAGUGGAAAGUCACACCGUCUUCUUGCUCCUCUAUACAUAUGGCUAGAAAAGACAUGGCACCACCGUGAGUGGUGGUGUGCCCCCGCUACUUGUGCCACCAAUAGUGGUGGUUCGCCGAAAUCUGUAAAUUUACGUUCUGCUCCACAUUAGAUCGUCAUUCAUUUUAGCUCCAAUUCUCCAUAUUAAUGCCAAAAAUAAAUGUUUCUUUCACUCUUACAAUAUUCUAGAUAUAUAAAAAAGAAUUAAAUUCAGUUUACCCCCAUGAAGUUUGGGAGUAACUUCAUGUUAGUUCCUAUACUUUCAAUUUCAUCAGUUUACCCCUCAAACUUUUGAAUUUUCCUCAAGCGUGACCAAAUGUCCUAUAUUCUGUCCAAAUCGGACGUUAACUACUGAUAAUUUUAACCUUAACUGUGAGGCCAGUAUCUAGAAUUUGGGCAAAUCGGACCUUAUAUGUCCAAAUCGAACCUUAACUGCUGAUAAUUAAAAGUCAAUUCAAACGGAAUAUGAGAAUUUGGGCACGGCAGACAGAAAUUGAAGAGUUCAAGGGGUAAACUGAUGAAAAUAAAAGUGUAGGGACUAACAUGAAGUCACCCCCNNNNNNNNNNNNNNNNNNNNAGUGAAAAUUUUGUGGAAACUGCAAAUUCAAUAGAAGAAAAAAAAUUCACUGAAACUAAACCAGCACAAUGUAUCUAAAAAUGUAAUGCUGAAUCAUAUCAGAUUUUCAGCAUUAGAAGUUCUUUGAGGAUAGUACUGACCUCUUUCUCUGUCCAGCAUCUUGAAGAUCUGGUUGGACCAGUGGUUCUCCUAGAACAAUUCAAAUGAGCAAUUAUCAUAUGAAAGCAUAAAACUGAGCGAGCCAUCCAAAACCAGAAAAUUGAAGAUUAUAGAAAAUAGAAUUAAAUUCAGUUUACCCCCAUAAAGUUUGGGAGUAACUUCAUGUUAAUCCCUAUACUUUCAAUUUCAUCAGUUUACCCUCUAAACUUUUGAAUUUUCCUCAAGCGUGACCAAAUGUCCUAUAUUCUGUCCAAAUCGGACGUUAACUACUGAUAAUUUUAACCUUAACUGUGAGGCCAGUAUCUAGAAUUUGGGCAAAUCGGACCUUAUAUGUCCAAAUCGAACCUUAACUGCUGAUAAUUAAAAGUCAAUUCAAACGGAAUAUGAGAAUUUGGGCACGGCAGACAGAAAUUGAAGAGUUCAAGGGGUAAACUGAUGAAAAUAAAAGUGUAGGGACUAACAUGAAGUCACCCCCAAACCACAAGGGGGUAAACUGAAUUUAAUUAUAUAAAAAAUGAUUUAAUGAAAGCUAAAAUAAACUCAAAAACAAGUUAAAGUCAAUAUAUAAGGGAAUGCAAAUAUAUGUAAAUUAUGAUCUAACACACCAACAAAUCAAACAACAUGAAUUCAAUUAAGAAGCUCAAAACCGAAACACCGAAAAUUUGGAACUCAAAACCGCAAAGGCACGAAGCAACAUCAAAAUUCAGAGAAACUAAAUCCAUAUCAAAUCUCAAAACCUAGACUAAUCAAAGCUAAUUAAAAUGGAGUACAAAUAUAGAAACACCCGGACAAACUAAAUUCACAGCUACUAUCAGAAAUCAUUCGAAUAAAAUCACAAACUAGACUAUCAGAGAAAAGGAAUAUAUUAGGAUACCUCAUUGGCGGGUAAAUUUAGUAACAACAAAAAUUUAGAGGGUAAAUCCAUACAUCCCUCAUAGUUCAGGGGCAAAAUACAAAAUCACAAUUUCUAGUUUCUAAAUUUGAGUAAUUAUUCCCUAUACUCGGGACACCACGUGACAUUGUCAUAUAAUGUACUCAGCCAAUUAUAUAACUCAGAUUCAUGUGAGGGCAAACAGAGGUGGAAAAAAAAAAGUAAUUAAAUACACCAAUCAGAAGUAAAAAUAAAACACUUGGACCAAAGGGAAACAUAAAACAUGUGGUAUUCCGGAUACAAAUAAUAAUAGGGAUGUGAAAUCCACACACCACACCUCAAAUUGAAAUCCACACACCAUUUUUCUUUUUUUGAUUAACACAUUCACUUAAAAAAAAAAAUUUAAGUCACUAAAAGACAAAAUUUAAAUUUCGGGUGUGUGAAUUUCACGACCGUAAUAAUUUCUCUCUAAAUGUAACCCAUUUCCGACGUUGCCUUUUCAAGUCUUCAACUCGAACAACUCGCUUCGAGUCUUCAAACCGUUGAUACUUUUGCCGGGGAAAGAUGUCGUUAUCUAGUCUCAUCGGCGGUGCACUUCCUCCUUCAGUCGGAGAAAACCAGCUGCCCACAAAACCGUCGUCGCUGACAACCACAAAACGAGCUCUUCCUCUUCAGGUGCGUUGGUUCACUAUUUGUUCUCAUAUUAGAUUCAAGAACACCCAAAUCUCUUACUUAGGAUAACGUGCAUAUUGUGCUGCUUUUAGCUUCUCUAAUUUCUCAUGUGAUCUAUUUUGCUUCUUACGAAUGGAUUCAACCUCUUGACGUGAGCUCAUGUUUAUAGCAAAAACCCACUUCGGUUGUUGGAUUUUCCUUAAAUUAGUUUCUUCUUAUUUGGGUUUUUUUUUUUUUUAUUUUUUCUUGGGCUUAGACUCUUACCGGAAUCAAUGGAGGAUUUGGGGAAGAAUUGCAUCGAUUCAUAUCUUGUACAGUAGUAGACUAGUGGGUUCGCAAUUACUGAUAGAGGAAAGAAGUUCACUAUAGUGUGGAUGAGUUUGUUUGAUGUAAGUUGCUUGGUUCCUGAAUUAUGUAGAAUCCUCAAUAAUGCAGAUGAAGGGAUAUGCACUGAUCAUGGCACCUUAACGUUCACAGAUGGUAUUUAGGUUCCUUAGUUCAUCUCUGCGAGGAUUUUGAUAGUGGAUCCAUAUUUUAUUGGCCUGCACAUUUUGUACAUUUUUCCAUCUGUUGAUCUAUAGCUUGUCCAGCUUAAGAGUAGAUUAUGUAUGAUGGUAGAUAUGCUUUACUGGAUCCAAGCUUGCUGUAAUGUGCUGAUACUGAUCUGAAUCAGAAGUGCCAACUGACAUUAGUCGCUGUGUUUAGACUUUAGAAUGGAUAUAGAAAGCCAGAUAGUUUACUUUGGCUACUGAAUUGCAGUGUUACAGCUAUGAUCGAAAUCAGAUGUUUCGAACACUUGUAUAGUCAGUUGGCCACCUUGUUUCGUAUUUAAGUCUCCUCAACUGUGUCAUAUUUUCAAAGGGGAAAAUUUUGCAGGGUUAAGUGGUUCAGUUGUUUCAGAUUAAUUUUGUGACAUGUCAUGAGCCUGGAGGAAUAGGCAGAGUAGGCUACUUUUGGGAAUGCAAAUACGCUUUAACCUGUACUUACUAGCAUCGUGUUUAACAAUCUUGAUAUUGCGGUGGACUCUGAACCCAUUGCUUCUAUAGUGAGAUGCAUCAUUAUUUAGCUUCUUAGUUUGUCAUUCCAAAGCCAUUACUUCCAUCUCUUCUUUCUAUCUCAGAGCUCGAGACAUGUUAUUUUAAUUUUUCUCCCAGAUGCAUAGUUAUGUGACUUAUUUGUUCGUCAUUAUUGCAGGUGAGAAGUGAGGGAAGACCGGAAUCAUGCCCUCCAAAAGUACUUGGUGUUUCACGAAGAGAUGUGAUGCUACCCGCUGCAACACUAGCAGCAGUCACUUUUUUCUCAGUCGAACCUGCUGCUGAGGCACGAAUCGUCAAGCCUGAGAUUAGGAGGAAAAUUCAGGAAAAGCUCAAGUUGCUGAGGGAAAAGGCCGGCUUAUCAGAGCCAAAAACCAAUCAAGGGAAACAGCCAGAACUGUCUUCACCACCGGCACCUGUUCCAAGUCCUCAAGUAAGCCCAAUUAUACCACCUGUGGAAGCAAUAUUCCCUUGAGAAAUGAGAUGGUAAUUGAUCCCUGUGAUACACAUAAUUACCUUAUCUAGUUCAAUUUUGUGUUUACUUUCUGUGUGGAACACUAUAACUCAAUCUUCACUUUUGAUUUGGGACAACAAGCACAUCUUACAUAACAGAAAAACUAAGUUUAUUGUUACAAAAAUAAGCUACAAAAAUGUGAAAAACUAGUUGGUCUUUUUGUUCAUGUUGCCAACAAGCUGGCGCAUCUGAAACCUCCAGACCAUGAAAUAAGCCAAACCCAAACCAACCAAAACAUAAAUCCAAACAGUCUCUUCCUUGCUCUCCUUCUCCGACCUCACCUCCGCUAUACUAAACAUCUCCCUCUCCGAAUUCCCCGCCGUUCCCUCGAGAAAAUGCCCGUAUAUCACAUACACUCUGUCCUCUGCCGCCACGGCCACUGAGGUAGGAAACCUCUCCACUUCAAGCUCAGUCUUGUCAUACACCACACCCUCUGACCAGUUGUCUUGGCUCUUAAGAAACCACAUUUUGUUCGGAGAAUUCACCACGACGUCGCCGUUUCUUCGCAUCGCAAUGCCGUCUGCCAGAGGCAGGUUCUCCGGCAACAGAACCUCCCUGGCGGUCCCGUCCUCCGCGUCCACUUUGAACAGCUUCCCAGUGUUGGACUGCACCACCAGUAGAUACCCCUUGCUGACGUAAGCAAUGCCGUUGAGUCCGCAGAAGCUGAACGGCGACUCGGGGUCCACAGGAUACGCCGAGAAGAGCGGAGACCUGGAGAAGAUGGAGGCGUCUCCUUCGGAGUUGACUUUCCAGAUGAAGUUGGCCGCCGCGUUGGUGACGUAAGCGUUGCCCUUGAAAUCCGCGGCGACGCCGUUGGCGAUCUGGCGGGAGGUGUCGCCGUCGGCUGAGGGGAGGGGCGUGAGGAAGAGGCGGCGGCGCGUGCGGAGGUCGUAGGCGGCGAGGGCGCUGAAGGGAGGGAGUGGCUCCAUGGCUUGGACGGCGGCGAGGAGGCGGUUGUUGACGGUGUCGACGGCGAGGCCGAGGAAGGUGACGUUUUCUGGGAGGUCGGUGUCGGAGACGAGAAGGUCGACGACGCCGGCGUCGGAAACAGAAUAGAUGGUGCGGUGGUGUUGGGCGCCGACGAUGAAGUGCUGGGCGGAGGGGUCGUAUGCUAUGCCUUCUGGGUAGAGAUUUGGGGAUCGGAAAUUGAUGACGUGAGGCUUGUUGGCUUGGGUUUGGAUGGGGAUUGAGCUCAGCAAAACGAUAAAGAGGACUGAGAAAACAAAGGAGGCGAUCGGAGAAGAAGGCAUGAUGUAUGUUGUUCAGUAUCGCAUGCUCAACCGGAGAUUUAUAGAAGCAAGAUAAACCAGUGUAUUCCUUGCCAAGAAAACUCUGGAGCUUGAGCCGGCGGAGUUUGAUUUCUUGUCAAACGGAGAAGGACGACUAGUUUCAGAACUGUUAAAUCACUUUCCAAAAGAUGCUAUAUUGGUAUUGGUCCAUGAGAAAAAAAAAACCCGGCCCGCCUAGCGUAACAGUCCAAACCCAAAUCCAAGUUGGGUCUAGUCUUGGGGCCUGCUGCUCUUGUUGCCUCAAGUGUUAUGGUAUUGAACUCUUGGUGCAGGGACAACACAUGAUAUUAAUAAAAUUUAUACUUUAGUACUCUAACUUAGUGCAUGUUUGGUACUCGGGACUAUAUUAUAUCUUUUUAUUUUUAAGACUGUCCUGCACUUAUAUAGGGUGUCUUAAGUUGUACUAAUAUUAACCCAUGUUUAGUGUUGUAUGGGAUUAGAUGGGUAGUUUAUUUGGUUUAUAGUUUAGAAGGAUGGUGCUAUCUAAAGACGACAUAUUUGAUUACCCACAAUAACACCACUUAAGAAGGCCAAAAUGAAAACAAAGUGUUACAUAAGCUCAUUUAUUUUAGUACCCAGUGACACCAAAUACGGUACUAACUACACUAGACUGUUUUUUUAGCACUGUCUCAUUUAGACCCAACAAACAAACAUACACUAAAUACACACGAGUGGAUGGUUAAGAAUUAUGACUUAAAUAUACGUACAUGGUUGUUUAAAUAUAUAAAUAGCUGAGAUUGCAUCGUGUAUACUCACACGUUAUGCAUACAUCCAGCGUCGAUCUCAUCAGCCACUAAUAAACUGAUUGGACUUUUAAUAAUCGAUUGUUUGUGAGUACGUGUAGAUACAAAUCGUAUACUAAACAUGGUUGGUCUUUCUGAUUUGCAGCUACUUGAAACAAAACUUGCUAGUGGAAAAUUUGAUGCAACAUUGAAACAGAAACGUGUGAGCUCUAGAUAUGCACGUCUCUGUUUUCACAACGCGUGUCACCACAGGACUGAAAUAUACGAAAUAGUUGCCGCCGAUAGGUAUGACUUUCUUAAUCCGGGAGACCGGGACCCAAAGGCCCAAACCCAACAAAGAAUAAAACCCUCAAAAAUAUCUGCACCAUCGUAGAACAAGUACAAUCACACAUCAUUAAUACAAGUUUCUUCCGGAACAUUCCGGAUGGCAAGCACCCAAGAUAUUUUCUUCUCGGCUUUCAAUAAGAUUCUCGAAUACACUACCAAUACUUAUAUACCUCACACAUCCAACCCUAUCAGAAUCAAGCCACCGCCUUAACCCGACCCUAUCAUAUAUAAAUCUCCCAUACCAACCUUUCUCUCUGAUCUGUUAUUCCAUUUCAAUUCUGGUCAUCAAGAAGGACGUACUUGUGGAAUUGCUGAAUCUGUGGUAUUUGAAGCUCUGAGAAUUUGGGAGGGUGAAGCCUGAAGGAGAUGGAGGCCGGGUCGGCUUCGUAUUACAGUGUUCUGGGAGUUGAUUCAGAUUCUUCUACGGAAGAAAUCAAGCGCGCUUAUCGGAAACUCGCCAUGCGGUAUCAUCCAGACCGGUGGACAAGAAGCCCUUCUUUGCUGGGGGAAGCCAAGCGAAGGUUCCAGGAGAUUCAAGAAGCAUAUUCUGUGUUAUCGGAUCAGAGGAAGCGAACAAUGUACGACGCAGGGUUGUACGAUCCCGAUGAGGAAGAAGAUGAGGUACGUACUUUGGUAUCGAUCAGUUUCUAUUUAGAACUAAUCAAGGUGUUUGGAUGUUGCUGUUUCCUAAUUGAUGUGGUGAAUGUAAUUCAAAGCAGGGGCUGUGUGAUUUUGUGCAAGAAUUGGUGUCUUUGAUGGCGGAAUCGAGACGAGAGCAGAAGAGUUAUAGCAUGGAGGAUUUGCAGGCAAUGUUCAUGGAGAUGGCUAAAGGAUUCGAGUCUUCUUUUGGGUACUGUGGACCUAAUUUUGAGCAAGCUCAUCAAUCUGGGUGCGCAAAGAGGACGCGUCUGGAAUCUAAACCAGGCAUCGACACAGGCUCGACUAUGGGGAUGUAUGGAGGACGAGGAUUCUUUUCAUUUUAGAGAAGUAGGCUUUGUUGAUGAUGAGAGAAUCAAAUCAAAUGUUUUUAAAUUGUAAUUUGUAUGAAGUUUUGAAAUCUGAGAGUUUGAGUCAUCAUUCCAACUAGACGCUUGUGUUUUUGUAAAAGUGUUGUUUUAAAGGUGGGCUUGACAACUAUAGAAUCUCAAUGUGGGCUUGUUUUGUGACACUGAUGUUGUGGGUGGAGUUCUAGCUAGUUCUACACUAUUCCUUUUCUAGUGGCAUGGUUCCAAAUCCUUGAAACUUCUACAUUGUUUUUUUCUUUGCUAGUGUUAUUAAACAAUGGCUAACUUGGAUGAUAAUUGGAACAAGGAAAACUACAGCGAUGAUUGAUUUAAGGAAAGAAGGUUCCUGGGAGGAAGUUGACCCAGAUGGAAAGCAAUAAUAAGCUUUAAGAAAAUGGGACGGUGGCCUUUGUAACCAAUCCUCUUUACAGAGACGCGUGUAGAUAUUCCAAAUACCCUUCAAUCUGUUCCCCUUUUCCUCUUCAUCAGUUUCUUCUGGCGUAAGAACUCUACUACUAAUCUAACAACUAAAUGACUAAUAGCAAAAUCACACAAUGGAAUAAUGGAGCAAAAGUAAAGGGUACCUCACGAAGACAAACAAAGGUCUCUAUCUUUCUUCUCAAAGCUUAACAGAGCGUAAGGGAGGUGUCAAUCAUCAAAUGCAAGAGGGAAGUGUCAUGUCAUUUGGUUAUUGGCUAGUAUGCGUUGGAAAUUGGAAUAUCGUAAUAUUGCUAGGACUGCCUUCAAGCAAGGACAAAUUGUGAGGCCUAGCUUCUUUCUUCACUAAUUUUAAUCGCCCUUAUCAUGUUUAUCUCAAUUGGUUACUUGCAUAUAAUAAUAUGCCUGGUUGCAUCAGUGGAGCUUCAAAACAAAUACUAAUGCAAAAACCAACAAAACAAGACUUGUGAGAAGGAAUUUGCAAUAAAACUACCUGGGCAAAGUGACAAUAUGAAUUAGGCAAACCCAUCAUGUGAUACAACAUCAAGAACUCCUCCAAACCACGACUCUUACCUUUGGAUCAUGUCGGAACACAUUUCCCUGUCUAACAUUCUACAUGGUUAUAUCACUUAUAUGUUUCAUGCAUUCAAUACGGAGUAAAAAACAAAAUUGUAAAUGCUUUAUUUAUUAUCUGAUACAAAUUCAGGAUAAGUCAAAUAUCUUAUUUCUUAAAUUUCGUAGUUAACUCGUGAAACUUAACAAUAAUAAUAUCGUUUUGACUCAUCUAUAUUUGUUUAGUAAUCUAUUUUAUCAAUUUCAUAUCUUUGUGAUUUACUGAUAUUGAUUUUCUUUCUUUUAAUUUUCACGUUGCUAGAACAACUACUAGUAUGUGUACAACCUAGAAACACAAAAUUCUGAAUUUCCAAGAGGGAUCAUUCCAAGAUCCCACUGACAUCGUUUGAGAAAGAAAGAUGCAAAUCAUCCCCCAAGUAAUGACUGGAUCUCCUAUUAAACAUUACACCCCGACAAAUAAUGCCAUACUUAAAGGUACAUAACUAAUACAUAGUGAUUAUUAUUUUUUGACUCACUAAUACAUAGUGAUUAAUAAACAAGAAGAGCAAUGUACAUACCCUAAAAUCCUCCAUCACAUACAACCUAAAAGAUCAGUUGAGUCGUAAUGGUGGAACCCGUGGAUUUGGACCAUCCACAUGCAGUGCGAUUCCCUUGAAGAAAAAGCAACACCACCCUCCUCCUCCUGUAACCAGAAAAAGCCCCUAAGAAUACGUCUUCUCUUUUAAAGAUACAUCGGAGAUAUCGCAGAUAAUUCAAUAUUAAUUAUUCCUUAAAAAAAAAAUCUCAAAAACUAACCCAUCAAACCCCAAAUUCAAAAAGAAAAAUAAAAAACCUAAACCCUCUCUAAUUACCCCAUUGACUCUCCCAUGCACCACCUCAUAACGUAAAUAAAAGCCUCUCUCACACACCCUUUCCUCCCAUUUUCUUCCAACUCUCCGCUCCUCUCCACCCAAAACACCAAACUGAUAAUCACACAGACACUAAAAGAUGACGCACUGCUUCAAGUUUCUCAGCCUGUUCCUUCUUGCCGUGGCCCUUUUAGGAGGAGUAGCUUCCGUUCACGCCCAAGACGGCAGUGAGAAGUGCGGUGCAUGCACCACUCCAAGCCCCCCACCGCCGUCUCCACCGUCGUCUCCUCCGCCGCCAUCACCGUGUCCUCCUCCACCGGCGCUUGCACCUCCAACACAGGAAAAUCCACCUCCUUCCCCCAAGAAACCUCCACCGUCUUCCUACUAUCCUCCGCCGUCGGGGGGGUUGGUUUACAUCACUGGUCCUCCCGGGCAGCUGUACCCUAUUGAUCAGGGCUUUAAUGGUGCUCAUGGAACUCGGAGCUCGAUGGGGUUACUGGCUCUGCUUGGACUCGUGUUGCUGGG
rnacentral:lncRNA from 1 species